rnacentral:lncRNA from 1 species
UAGUGCACAACAUUUUGCAGUCAAUUUAUUUUUUAUUUCCAGCUUUUUUCCCAGCUCCAGUUUACAGAUGGGUCCCAAAUGUCAGAUUUUUCACAACUUAUUAAUAAGCAAUAUAUAUGUAUAUAUCAAACAGACAGAAGAGAGAAAGCAUAUGAAAAUCUUCAAAUAACAGCUAAAAUAAGUUUAUUACAAUAUGCUAUACAGAACAGAACACGUGAAACUACAACACUCAUUCACAUCACAACAACCAGUUUCCAUACACUCAUUCACAUCACAUCAACCAUUUUAACCAUCAAAUCUUGCAUACCCAUGAACUUCCGCUUAUGUGUAGACCUACAGGAAGGGCAUCUCUCCAGCAUCAUCUCUCGUAACCUAAAAGAAGGAACAUAAACCAUCAUUAGAAUUUGCAACUUUUUGUCAUGCCAAAAUAUUAAUACUUGUCUAAAACAAAGGAUUGAUGGCAAAAAUUAUUUCCAUAGCCGUUUGUUGGAUACUGAUGGUAGUUUGAGUAGGUAGGCUGAAUAGUUCAAUGUGUUAAACAACCAGGUGCAUUUUUCUCUACAGCCGAACUAGGUAUAUAGUUGAAAGUCUGUUAGGCAUGUGACACAAAACAUUUUUUGUAUUUCAGCAUGAUAGACCAUAAACAUAACUUGCUAAUUACAUGUUUACUAGCUAUAGGUCCUGUUAUCGGCAACCAAAAGCAUUAGGCGAUGAAGAACAUUAUAUUUGCAAUGCAAUUCGUUAGCCAACCACCAAUAUGAUAGUCCAUGUGGGUAUUACAUCAGGGACAAGCCAACAGAUAAGUACAUAUGACAAGAAACAAAAACAAAGAGGUCGUACAACACAUGGCAUGUGCAUAUCUCCAUGACACCAACCAAGCAAGGAAUGUACAAACAAGAAGCGCACCUUCAGCGUCUCAUCAUCGGUCAUGAUAGGUGUGCUGGUAGGUGGUUGACGAGCCUCCCUUCUUGUCAUGCUUGGUCAUGAUCUGGAUAGCGAAAAGAGGGAGGUUAGGAACAUCACAAUGACAGUACUGAGAUCACUCAAGAAAUCCUAAUGAUGCAUGAACCUCACAAUGUUGCCAACAAGGCAAGAACUUCCUUGAUCUUAUCCUUGAUGUUCUCUAGCUCCAGGUUGUUUCGCUGCAGCUCAAUAUUUGAUGCCGUGUGUGUACAUGCAUCAGGGCAUACAUACAAUGUUCAAGUUAAUAUUCUCAACAAACUAUGAUGUAACCAAAAUAAUUACUUCAGGACUUAGGAUAAAAAUUGAGCUUAGACAUGAAACUUUACAGCGCUCAUUUCAACCAUGUUAGAUAAACUUGAGGUAAAUUAGCAAUAAGGAUAUUGGUUACAAGCUAGGUGAAGUGCAAACAAAGUCCUAUUAUAUUGAUGUAUCCCAACUUGUUUAAACUAGAGCAGAUCGUUCAACUUGUGCAAUCUAGCAUUCUAAAAAGAGAGAAGUAUGUUCAUUCUCAGUUACACAUUAACUAGAACAAAAAUGAGAGACAUUAAUUAGAAAAGAAAUAAGAGACACUAAUAUAAGCAAGAACUUUCAACAAGUACACAUUAAUUAUUACAUAGCAUCUCUAGCACUGUUGUUGUUUGCAUAUUAAAACCAGUAGUUGUCCGCUAUGAAGCAUCACUCAUUGACCAACAUUAGUAUGUCAGCUAGCAGAAUCCUCAUGUACUAACUUAGACAAAUUUGACAUACUAAUGCUAUAGAAAAUAAUUGUUUGCACAUCAUCGUCCAGGACCUCCUACAGGAUCAUUUCACUCUAAUCUCCUACCUGACUAAACUAACAAGUGCUCAGAUUACCGACAAAAACAAGUGCAGUAGCUUAAAAAGUGGUAGUAGCUCAAAAACAAGCAAAACAUUUGUCCAGGUGACCCGUUCGGAGUAGCGCGUAGUAGAGCACCUGCACCCUGCAUCCACGCACAUACGAAUCAGUCAACGAGUCCAUCAAUAAGAAAGGGGUCGAGAUUUCAAUGUGGGGAGGAAGCAGCUAACCGUCUAAAGAAGACAGGCCAGUUAUAGAUGCAGAGUUAGGCACAGUCGAUUGUCGAUGCCAUCGCUGCUGCCGCCGCCCGGAUCGGGGUGUCAUGGAGGAAGCGAUCUGAAGCAUAAAAACUGAGCAAAAUUAAAAGCAUCAGUCUCUAGAAGCAUGUAGGCAAUAGUACUGGAUAAUAUUUAGACCAAAAGACUUUUUAUAUUUUGAGACAGAGGGAGUAUUACAUAGUUCAGCAAAGCCAUGUCAAAUUAAUCUAAAAAAUGAAUUACUAAACCUGCCUGACUAAAUCAAACUCAAACCAAUGCAUCAAUCGACACUAGCAGUAGUACACUGAAGAAAUCGACACUGAAUGGAGGCAAUUAAUAUGUACAGCUAGCACCCAUUUGCCUAUAUUUUGCACUUGAAUUCAAACCAAUCACUCUAUUUUAGAAGAUGCGACGAUUGUGGAAACAGUGGCACUGAAAUAUCUGUAACGAAACUAUGACUAAUGUAACACAAUAGGACACAAUGUUCAAAUGUGCUGCCAUGCAUUUAACGCGUCGAUGCAGCACAUAUAAUCUCACCACGAUACUAAAAGCCCAGAGCAACUUUGAGUUACUGGGUAGCAAGUGGAACCAAGGUUGGUUUUGGUCUGAAUUAUCAUACAAAGCUUUGAUGGUUUCAGAAUUCAGAUGUGUGGUUCCAUAGUCCCUCUGAAAAAUUAACUUACACACUGUGCAUGCCCCACUAAUUUUGUGUGGCACCAACAUCACAACCCUAUCAAUUCACAGAUUGCCUAACUGUAGCACUAUAGCACAUUAUCCCAUCCAGAGUAUAAUUAUCAGAUUACUGGAAGUGAUAUAUGUCAGCCUGUGGAGUGUGGACUGAUAGAAUGACAUUAUCUGAUUGCCAUGUUGUUAUAUAAUAGAUACACCUAGCCGAGGAGCUAUCCGGAAACUAUUGCCAUGACAGCAAUUUCGACCCCAACUGACGCUGACCGUGCUCUGUGCAAGCAGCUAAUCCAAAAGAUCGAUCGCUCACUCGCUAGUGUGCGCCAAUCACCCCCAUUCACAAAUCACAGUCAAGCACCUAUUUGAACCGAACCUGAAAAGGAGGAGAGGAAAAAGGAAACUAUGACUCGAGCACAAAAUUGUGAAUGCACACACACUGGUGCAGAAACUAAAACUGCAGAACCAUCCAUUAUUCUUAUAUACACAACUCAAACACAAAUCUGUGGCCAGGUAGCCACGUAUUCAUAGGCGACUCGAGUAAUUUGAUGAAGAAUUCCAUACAGGGAGCCGGAGAGGAGAGGCGCUUGGAUGGGUACCUUGGGUAAGGGAACAUGCCGAGGAUGUAGCCCUUGGGCCUGGAGGCGUCCGAGGUGCGGAACGUGCGGUGCUCCUCCCAGCGCGCCUGCCACCUCGGCUCGAUCUCGUCGUACCGGUACGCCCGCCUCGCCCACACCUUACCCACGUCGGCACCGGCGCAGCAACAGCAGGAACGAGUGCGGCGCGGCGAGAGGAGCACACGACGCUGGUGGGCCACGGCGACCGCGGGGGGGGAGGGGGGCGUGCGGAGCUGGAGUGGCGGGUGCGGCGUGAGAGCCAUCAGGGGUUGGGGACGCGCGCACCAGAUCCGAACUGAUGGGAGGAAGGAGCGGAGCGGAGCAAGCGUGAGAGGAUGCGGUGCCGGCCAUGGAGCGCAGAGCGGCGUGACCGAGCUCUAGGAUGGAUCUGGGGAUCGAGAGGAGAGGUAGAGGGAGAGGGUGGGUCAGCGGNNNNNNNNNNNNNNNNNNNNNNNNNNNNNNNNNNNNNNNNNNNNNNNNNNNNNNNNNNNNNNNNNNNNNNNNNNNNNNNNNNNNNNNNNNNNNNNNNNNNNNNNNNNNNNNNNNNNNNNNNNNNNNNNNNNNNNNNNNNNNNNNNNNNNNNNNNNNNNNNNNNNNNNNNNNNNNNNNNNNNNNNNNNNNNNNNNNNNNNNNNNNNNNNNNNNNNNNNNNNNNNNNNNNNNNNNNNNNNNNNNNNNNNNNNNNNNNNNNNNNNNNNNNNNNNNNNNNNNNNNNNNNNNNNNNNNNNNNNNNNNNNNNNNNNNNNNNNNNNNNNNNNNNNNNNNNNNNNNNNNNNNNNNNNNNNNNNNNNNNNNNNNNNNNNNNGGGGACCGAGGGGAGGGGGGAGUGGGUGGGUGGGGGUGGCGGCGGGCGGGGGUCGGGGGGAGGGUGGGUGGGUGGGUUAGGGUUUUUGAUUCUCUGGAGAAGCUCCACCAUUGGAUGGAUGUGUGAUGGAUGGCUCAGAUUGCGUCCAAUUUGGUGAUCUGCGUGAAAGCGGUUCCUCACGUCUCAUUGGCCGGCUAUCUCGCACUUGAAUUUCAAAAUUUUGAACCCAAAACUUUGAAUUUUUUUAAACAUAACAAUGACAUAGUUUGUCAAAAUGAUCUCGUUUUUUUCAUAAGUGUGCAUCUUAGAAUGGCAAACGAUGCCAUAGUUCGACGGCUUUCAUUUUCUUUGCACAAAAACAUGAUUUUCCAUUUUUCGAGUGCAUAAGAAGUUUUUUUGUGAAGAAGCUACCAAAUAUUUGUUCCAAAAUAGCACAACUCCAUUUUUCAAAAAUAUUAGACCAGAUUUUAUGUAAAAUUGACCAAAUAGUUACAUGUCAAAAGCUUUUGAUCCACCUCUUAUAAAAAAACAAAUUUCACCCCAUUCAGUAGGAAGCGGGGGAAAAUUUGAAUGAAAAUUUGUUCAAAUGAUUUUGCAUUGUGCACAAAGGUGCAUCUUGUAAUUCCAAACAAUGUUUCCUAAGGAAGUUUACACUUUCUUUGCACAGAAAAUUCAUUUUCCAUUUUACGAGUGCCCGAAAUGAGUUUUUUUGUGAACGACCUACCAUAUAUUUGUUGCAAAAUUGGACCAAAUCAUUUUUCUAAAAUACUAGGCCAUAUUUGAUUCACAAUUGUGGUGAAAAAGACAAAUUUCCGCCAAUUCAGUAGGAAGCAGGUCAAAUUUGAACUGUAGCUGCCUCAUAGUUUGCUAUUUAUUUUUUCCAAAAAUCAUUUAUAGGUACAUAAGUAUCUCUUUAAUCAGAUAAACAUCAAAAGUUUUCCAAGAUUCAACCACUAGUUAGGAACGGUCAAGCCCGCCGUUUUGACUGCAUUUUGAAACGGGCAUAAAAAAUUCAAAAAAAUCAAAAAAUGGAAAACAUUCGCAUUGUGUCAUUAUAUGUGACCAAGUUUCUAGAAAAAAUAAUAAACUUGUAAUACGGCAAUUAUUUUUAAAAAGUGUUAUCAGAAAUGAGCUAUCACGCGUGAAGAUUUAUGGCUUUCAAGUCAAAUGAUCGAACUUAUGGCCACAUUCAUGGCAUAGUUUGUUCAAAUGAUCUAAUAUCAUGCACAAGGGUGCAUCUUGGAAUUACAAACAAAGUUUCCUAAGGGACUUUUUAUUUUCUUUGCACAGAAAAUUCAUUUUCCAUUUUCCGAGUGCCCGAAUUGAGUCUUUUUUGUGAAGGACCUACCAUAUAUUUGUUGUAAAAUUGGACCAAAUCAUUUUUCUAAAAUACUAGGCCAUAUUUGAUUCACAAUUGACCAAAUGGUUAGGUGUCGAUCCACCUCUGGUGAAAAAGACAAAUUCUCGCCGAUUCAGUAGGAAGCGGGUCAAAUUUGAACUGCAGCUACCUCAUAGUUUGCUCUUUAUUUUUUCAAAAAAUCAUUUCUAGAUACAUAAGUAUCUAUUUAAUCAGAGAAACAUCAAAAGUUUUCCAAGAUUCAACCACUAGCUAGGAACGGUCAAACCCGUCGUUUUCAUCGCAUUUCGAAACGAACAUAAAAAAUUCAAAAAAAAUCAAAAAAUUGGGAAACCUUCGCAUUGUGUCAAUAUAUGUGACCAAGUUUCUAGAAAAAAUAACAAACUUGUAAUACGGCAAUUAUUUUAAAAAAAAUGUUCUCAGAAAUGAGGUAUCAUGCGUGAAGAUUCAGGGCUUUCAAGCCAAAUGAUCAAACUUAUGGCCACAUUCAUGGCAUAGUUUGUUCAAAUGAUCUCAUAUUGUGCACAAGGGUGCAUCUUAGAAUUCCAAACAAUGUUGCCUAAGGGAGUUUUCAUUUUUCUUUGCACGAAAAAUUCAUUUUCCAUUUUUUAAAUGCCCAAAAUGAGUUUUUUUGUGAAGGAACUACCAUAUAUUUGUUGCAAAAUUUUACCAAAUCAUUUUUAUAAAAUAUUAGGACAUAUUUAAUGCAUAAUUAACAAAAUGGUUUGGUGUCAAAAGUUUUGAUCCACCACUUGUGAAAAAGACAAAUUUCUGCCGAUUCAUUAGGAAGCGGGUCAAUUUUGAACUGCAUCUACCUUAUUGUUUGCUCUUUAUUUUUUCCAAAAAUCAUUUCUAGUUACAUAAGUAUCUAUUUAAUCAUAAAUACAUGGUUUGAUGGUGAUACGUCGAGGUUUGGAUGUGGCCCAGGGCCCCACCUCCAAAGCGCGUAAACUCGCAUGCCCGUCGUGUGGUCACCGCGUGACCUUGGCGUUGACAUGCGUUCUGGGAGGCCUAGGCAUGUCUAGUGGGUUGGGCACUCCCCAGGUAGGUGCUAGGAAUAAAAUUACAACAGAAGAAUCUCACGAGGAGACUGACCUAUGCUCAAAGAUGAAUUAGCAGCCAAGUGUUUGAUUAGCAGUACGGGAAAUGCACAUGGCCAAUGGGCGUGAGUUUUGGCUGAGGAUGAUCAUCUACUAAGGAGAAUGUCUUCACAAAUUUUUAGCUCAAAAGGAGGAUCCUAGGUGGUACUUGCUUUGCAAAGUACCAAGCUGGACAAAAAUAUGAAUGUUGAAGCUGGGCUCAAAAUAAUGAAUGGAUUGAGCUGAAAAUUGGUGGAGGAUGGUUAUUUGGGCAUAGGAAAUCAUUUUAGAAAAUUGAUACCAUUUGGACAUGCCAAAGUAGUACUUCCUUCACAAUGCUCUUCUAUGGACAGAAACUUAGGAAAACUAGUGAGAGAGAUUGGAUGAAUGAAAUGAGCUCAAAAUUGGUGUAGGUAAGUUACAUAGGUAUGGUCAUGCGCUGGUAAAUUUUCAGAUCAUUUGGGUAAGCCUAGCCAGUACUUACUUCACAAAGCUUCUCUCGAGGUAGAAACUUUGGAAAUUUCCUGAGAAAGAUUUACUAGGAAAAUUGAGCUGAAUAUUAUCAUGUGGCAAUGAUUUUGGUAUGGAAGAGUGCCCAAAAAAUUUGAGGGUAAUAGGAGGGGUCUAGAUAACACUUGCUUUGCAACAUGCCAAUUUGGCCAUAAAAUAUAAAUUGAACCUGGGCUCACAUAGAUGAUUUGACUGAGCUAAAAUUUGGAGGAGGGUGAUAAUUUAGGCAUAUGAAGGAACUGUAAAAAUUUCAUGUCAUUUCGAUAUAUAAAAAAUGUACUUCCUUCACAAUGCUUCUAGGUGGACAAAAACUUUGGAAAUUUGCAGAGGAAGAUUUGCUAGGCAAAUGGAGCUGAAUUUUGUCAUGCGGUAAUUAUUUGGAUAGGAAAGAGUGCGCAAAAAAUCCAAGGGCAAUCAAGAAUAUAUAAAUAGCACUUCCUUCAUAAAGUGCUGUUGUGAACAGAAUAAGAAAAUGAAUAUUGUUGAAUUAGUUUUGAACUAGGCAAGGAAGGAUUUUUACAUAUUUGAUGAAGAUAUGACCCAAAGAAUUUAUGAGAUUGUUUUUGGAAUUUUGGGAAUGGCAGAAAUAUAGGUUGCUUCACAACCUAGGGCAAAAACUACCACAUGGACAUGACACAUAGGCAAAACUGAUGAGAUGGCGCCUAGUCAUAGCAACCCACCACAAUUUACAAGGUUAUGACCAUCUAUAUUGGUCAUGAUCAGCUAGAAGUAAGGCAGCAGACCAGUGCUAUCUGCUUUAUGACCAUUUCGUGUAAGGAAAUUACGACCUUUCUGACCAAAAUGGUCGUUAUAGUUUAGGGUUUGGAGCCCCCCGAACAGUUUUUGACCAAUUGGUCUAAAAUGGUCAUAGACCUAUGACCAAUUCUUACAGGUUCACUGACAGAAGGUCACUAGUUAACAUAUUUCUUGUAAUGUCUCAGUUGCGCACUAGUGGGGACAAAAUGCACAGAAAAGAGUAGUGUUGGUCUGUAGGACCAGUCUAAAUCCAGAUGUAACACCCAGGAAUCGGUGGGUUUGGCCGAGGCGUUACACCUUUGUGAAUCUCUACCACCAUAGCGAGGCGGCCCAAGGAGGAGGGGUGGGGGGGCAUGGGGCACCCAUGUGGGCCCAUAGGGCUCCUCCCAUGCCGUGAUUUGGCAGGUGCCUUAGGUCCCACAUUUCUUGUACCGACGCAUUUUAUUUCAUUUUGAUUUAUAACUUUGUAAUUUUUUGGAAGCAUAGACACGAAGAUAGAAAACUGGCUUUUCUCACACUCUACUAAUAUCUUAGUCCAAAAGAUCAUAAAUAGUACUAUCUCUGUAUUUAAUACUCUCUCCGUUUAUUUGAUCUGCAUAUUAGGUUUGACUGAAGUCAAACUUCAUAAAGUUUGACCAAGUAUAUAAAAAAAUAAUAUAAACAUAUACAAUAACAUAUCUAUAUGAUGUGAAAGUAGAUUCAAUAUUAAAUCUAAUGGUAUUGAUUUGUUAUUGUAUAUGUUAAUAUUUUUGUUUAUAAACAUUGUCAAAAUUUACAAAGAUUAAGUUUGAUCAAAGCUAAUACGCAGACUAAAUAAAAACGGAGAAAGUAUACGGAGUUUGACACUGGACUCUAAAAACACCUUAUAAAAUGAACUCUAAAAACAUCUUAUAAAAUGUUACAGAGGGAGCACACGUUAUGACAAGAAAUAUAGCAUGAAAAUGAUCCAGCUCUCGUAUGCAAAAAUAAAAUAAAAAUGUAGCACUAAUGGUGACAUAUUCUUGCAUAUCUCAUAAUUAAAGGGCAUUGUCGUCUGAUAAAAAUGGCAAUCCAAGGGCAGAGGUCACCCUCUUUGACUGUCAGACGAUCGAGCAGCUUCUUCUUGUUAGGUAGUCAACUUCGCAUCGGGCAUUAGCUCGGGAGCCGUACCAUAAUCCUGUAGGAUAAAAAUCAUAAUCUGCCUGGUCUCCUCUUGACCCGCUCCGCGCAGUGUAUCCUAGGGCGUCCCUGUCCGACGUCUCUUCCGGGAGUCACCGUAGUACAUCAAUGCACACGCUUCCGCGGUCUAUGUUUAUUGCAGGUUCUGGAACAACUCGCACUACCUGUAUCAACCUUGCAUCACACUAUACAUACAUGAGACGACGUGUUGACACGACCGGAGUCCGGAGGCAGAUCCCGAACAUUUCUAGUAUAGAAAGCAACACCAGUCAACCUUCCUAAUAAUUUUUCUUGUACGUACCUGCAUAUACCAUAUGCCACAAGACGCACCCGUCAACCUAUAUCAAGGACGAAGAAAAUCAAUCUGUGGGCCCGCUUGUCAGAUCGUGGACCAGCAAAAUCGAAUAAUGCCCCUACCGUUGACAAUUAUGAUCAGCGUAAACAUAUCUCUGAACGUGAACAGAGUUUGGCACGAAGGUGAAUGUAAUACAAUGUCUUCGCCUACGAGCAUCGCCAACGGUUUUCAUAUCCGUAAAAUCUUUGGUUUAGGGGAAGUUGGACAAUAGAAGCACAAGUGAUCCCAAAAUAAACGCGGUUUUUUUAGGAAUUUGGUGUAAUCCACCCAACUUCCUAAAUAUUUUAGAGAUGACCCUUCCCAUAAAAUGCCACAGCAGCGCGCCGUCACCAUACGCACUGCGUCGCUGGGCAGCAUCUGCCGCUGUGCCGCCAUCGCUGACCACCGCUGGCCGCUGCCGUCGACCACCAUCUUCUGCUCUCUAGGCCGCUGAUGAAACCCGGUGCCGGUGUCGCGUUACCGCAAAAAAUCACUUUUAGAGAUUUUUUUUGGAAACUUAGAAAAGACCUCACCUGUGAACUUCCCCUUAGGUUAUAUGGGCACCCCUUAAACCACUUUCACAUGAGUUAACUCACAGUAAUUGUUGGGGACGCCAUAGUCUGCUCCGGUGAAUUAACUCACAGUAAUUGGUGGAGAUGGUCUAACCUAGACACCAUAGUCUGCUUUGGAGAGAGAGAAAGAGAGAGUGAUCCAGCGAUGUCUCUUAGUAGGAAUAAUAUCUUUUAAGUUUUAUCCUUGUUUUAAUGGUGCGUCUAGCAUCGUCGAAGGACGUGUGGAAGCGUGUCUUCGUCAGAUCUCGCGGGAUUCGAUCGGUGCUAGUCUUUGGUGGAUAUGUUUGGAUCCGAUCUUCAUUCGUCUUCGUUUGAGUGUUUACAAGUUUGAUCCUUCUGAUCGACGACUUUCAUCAUCGGUGAUGAUUGUUGCUUAGGUGCGCUGGUCCUAUGAGGUCUUAGCACGAUGAAUUCUUGACUGUCUACUAUAACAAGGUUUGUCCGGCUCCAAUGAGGGAGGGGUGAUGAAGGAGGCGCGUCUUCGACUUGCUUCAGUGCUUGUAGUCGUCACUAAACGGUCCACGAACAUGAUUGUAAUAUUUAUUACCUCUGUUGUUGUUUGUACUGCCAUGACUGAAGCCGAAUAGAUUGAAAGAUUCUUGGAAUUUUUUAAAAAAAAAUUUGAACACAGUACAGACGCAAGUGCUCAUACAUACGCGCAUACACUCACCUCUAUAAACGCGCACACGCAUACCCUACCACUAUGAGCGAACGUCUCUUUCACUGAAAGCGCAUCAUGGACUUCAACCCUGGUGGGCUCAGAUACCACUGUCCCUCUAACUAUCCAAUCACAGGUUGAUUCGUUAUUUUAUUUUAGAAUUGCCUGGUAAAGGUUGGAUUCUUUUAAUACACCGUCUCUGGACGUGGAUAAAGAAGAUGAAAUGGAACCUCUAAACGAUUACGUAGUUGGCUGACGGCAGAGGAGCGUCCGUCUAUAAAACUAGCUCCACCAAUAUCGGUAGGUACUCCACAAACUGACCACCUCCUAACAGAGUGGCUACAUCUCAGCUCAAGAAAAUCCACUCUCUUGCUGUAACCUCCUGCAACUCACGAGAUCAGGAUGGCAUUUCAGCAAGAGGCCGUAGGAAAGCUGUGGGAGGAGCUCGGCCGCAGCUACAAUCUCAGCGCCAAGCUUCUCGCUUUGCUCAGCCAACCCAGCCACCUCCUCGAUAGCCAUGGCCAGGAGAUGGCUGUGGCCAUAAGCCAAGAGCUUUCUCAGGUGUUCAGGGCGUCUCUGUCGAUGUUCAACCCCGGCAACAGUGGUAGGAUGGUGGAAGGCAGGGCGACAGCGCCCGAGGCUGCGAUCAUGGAGGGUAGCAUCAGCCAGGCCACUCCGGCGAUCAUCAGGUGCACUACUGAUUUACUAACACUGAUCCAUCUCGAUUAGCACUGCUUCCUUACUCUGUUGUUUCCAUGAACCAAUUUAGUGGGGAAGAGGUUACUCCCCCAAGAAUAGGUAAAGAAGAGGAGAUUACAGCCGAGCCUUACAAGGAUGGUUACAAAUGGAAAAAAUAUGGGCAAAAGAACAUUAAGAACAGGAAGUUUGCAAGGUGAAGUUGUUUUCUUGAUGCGAGUUCUCCUAUUUAUCCGCAAAUAUCAUGCAUGGUACUUACUGCAACUGUAGCCAAAUCACAGAGCCAUUUACUUUUUUGUUUAAGUACAUCACUAACAAGAACUAAUACAAAUUAAUGAAGCACAUACAUUGUUGGACGAAUAGUAUAUAAGUGUUUGAGCAAUGGUUAUGUUUACAAACAUAAGGACUUUCCACACGUUAAGACUAUGCGAUACAUUUUCAAUACAUAUGAAAACGUGUCGGAGUGAGUGACCACGGGUAGCCUAGCCGGCUCCCCCUAGCCUUUCUGAAAAAAUUACGAGCCGAUCCGGCUCUUAAGAAUCCAAGACAUGGGGCCGCCUUCUCCUGGUCGGCUGUCUCCUAGGCCGGCUAUUGGAAGGCGGCCCGACUUCAGCCGUCAUGAAGAAAGCCGCGGGAGGGCCGGCUCCGAGGAGCCGGCUGCGAGGAGCCGGCUGCGAGAAGGCCGACUCCAAGGAGCCGGCUCCCAUAAAGCGGUCAAGACCGUACCCCCGAAGUCUGCAUCCACAUAAAGGUGAUGUGACGGGGCAUGGCUAUAGUGAAGCCUGCCACCCCCGAAUCCCGAAGCGCGCCUGGCACAGUGCGCCGUACGGGUGGCCAUGACCCGUCCGGCGCGACACUAUUGCCACACUGACCCUGAUGUCAUCCACGACGGGCUCCCAGUACGGCCCACGGGCGGUGGGCCCCUUGAGGCAGAGAGACACCUGAAGGCGGCCUGGCCUCCCCCAGUCGGCCCGAGACAGAGCCGGCUCUCUCCAGCCGGCUUGCCACCCCCUCAAAGGAGACGCCCCAUUAAGGAGACAAGACGCGGUGAGGCUACAGUGGUCACCCGCCGGACGGUAGCACUGUAGCCAUGCUUACCUCGGCGAAGCCCUCGUCACCAAGAUUGAGCAAUAGUAACCAGCCAUUGACAAGGCCCUGGACAGUGGGGCCUGCCUGUCGACCAGGGAGCCAGCAGCCGGCGGGACCCACCAGCCGGCGGGCCCCAGCAGCCGGCGCAGAAGGCGGAGAGCGAAGACACAGACGGCUGGGCCCCACGCUCAGCCGGAUUACCGUUGUACCCCCGGGGGGUAGGCCUAUAUAAACCCCCCGGGACACCCAUGCAAAGGGUGGAUCCCUGCUAGUUUUAGACACCACGUAGGGAGGAGAAGAGAGCAAGCAGAGCCCUUCUUCCUCCUCUCGUCAAACAACUCAAGGAGUAUCGUGUAGCUACUUGUUCAUCUAGUGAUGAUGCGGAGACCCCGCAGAGCAGCAGUAGGGGUGUUAUCUCCACGGAGAGCCCGGAAGCUGGGUAAGAUUCGCCAGCGUGCAUGUCUUCGCCUCAUCCCGUUUCCAGGCACCGCCGAUGUUUUACUGGCUCCCACAAUGAUAAGCCACCCGCUGGCAUAUGUCGCACCUACCACCCGACAUUUGGCGCCCACCUUGGGGCCAGGUGCACCGUCGUCCGGAAACCUGUUCUGGACGGGAACCCUCUUCCUCCCUCGCAAGCAUAGCCAGCCCGGCACGCCCGAUGGCACUUGCCACGACGCGCUGCAAGGCGUCACCAACGCCUGCGCAGCGAGCAGCCUCAUUGAUCUCCUCGACAAGACCCUCAUCUCCGACGAGCUUGCCUCCGACGCGGGCACCGACCACCUCGUCAACCUCCUCGGCCGGCUCCAUGUCUCCGGCGAGCCUGCUGUGGACUUGGAGUCGGUUGGCUCCACCGAUCCGAUGCCUGUCGACUCCGACACGGCCUCGUUCGACACCUUCCCCACCAACGUCACAAUCUACAACGACCCGCUUCCCCGAGCAGAUGGUUGCGACGCUGUCACCACCGAGGUGAUGGUCAUCGGCCACGACGGCGCUGCUGACGAGAGCGCCCACGAUGCCCCGCACGCGGCAGUCCACGACUUGUCCAUCCCCCUCCCGGCCAACGCCGACGCUGAAGCACUGGAGGCUCGCCGCCUCGCCCUCCUUGCGGAAGGCCGGAAAUUUGUUUCCAUGAGACGCCUCGCUGAGGCCCACCGACGCGAGGCUGACCGCGCCGCCUUUGGCAUGCCGCCCCCAGACGGGCCCAGCCGGGUCGGCGUUGUCAGACAGCGCGGCGCUGUCGUUGCCGACACGUUAGGAGUCGACCGCUGAGUCUACGCCACUCCACUCGAGAACCUGUGCGCCGCCCAGGCGGCCGUAGAUGAGCUAGAUGGACUGGGGGCCGAAGAACUCCCCCACAUGACCCGACGCAUCCAGCAGCUGAUCGAUGCAGCCGCGCAGCGGCACGAAGCCGACGCCCGCGUGGAAAGCCGAUCUCGGCGCGACGUCCCGGACGCCGACUGCGGGUAGAGACCGCGUGCGGCGCGAGAAAGAGCCGGCUGCUAGCCGAAGCCAAACCCGAAUUUCCAUCGAGCGAGAUGCAGAAGGCCACCCUCGGGCCGUGGAGUGGCAGGGCAACCCGCCUCCGCCUCGGCCCCAUGGAGACAGAUAUCCCACCCCUCCACCGGUGGCGCAUCCGACUCUCAGCGGCCGACUAGGUCGCCGCGAAGGAGUCGGCGAAAACAACGCCCGCCAUCGGAUCGACCGCCUGGCGCGAUCCCUGGCGCUGGAAGAAGAAGACGAUGUCGGUCCGCCUUGCUUCGGCCCCCGCAUCCGCGACGAGCCCUUCCCCAAAGGGUUCUCGCUCCCAAGAGACACGCCCAAGUACAACGGCCCCGUGAAGCCAGAAGAUUGGCUGAUCGACUACUCCACAGCGGUUAGCAUAGCCAACGGCAACCGGCGCGUUGCUGUGAAGUACGUGCCCCUCAUGCUGCAAGGCACGGCGCGGACCUGGCUCAACAGCCUCAAACCACGCAGCAUCAACAGCUGGCUAAACUUCACAGAAGCCUUCGUCCACAACUUCACCAGUACCUACAAGCUGGCUCCCAAGCCCAGACAGCUCUCCUUGUGCGUACAAGGCCCCGCCGAGUCAACUCGCGACUACCUCACGCGUUGGGCCGAGCUCCGCAACUCUUGCGAAGGGGUGCACGAGGUGCAAGCCAUCGAAUACUUCACAGCCGGGUGCCGAGAAGGCACCCUCCUCAAGCACAAGCUUCUCUGCGAUGAGCCGACUACCCUCGACGAGCUUCUGGACAUAGCGGACAAGUACACCACCGCCGACUCCUCAAUGAAGACCGAGCUCUGGGUAGACGCGUCCGGAAAAGUACUCAACCCGGCGCCCAAGACGCCGGCUGGGGAUUCCGGCCGACGCCCACACUCGAAGGACCACAAGCGCAAGGGCCCCGCGCCGCCUCCCGCCAGUCGGCAGGUGGCCACAGUCGAAGAGGUGCCGCCCGAAGGGCGGCCCGGGCCCAAGAAAUCCAAGGGCGGCAGGCCGGUUUGGCAGCCGGCCUUCUCCUACGAGCAAACUCUCGACGCCCCGUGCAAGUUCCACAGCGGCGCGAAGCCGUCCAACCACACAACCCGGAAGUGCCAUUGGCUCACCCGAAUCUCCAAAGGCGAAGGGCUCGCGCCGCCUCCGCCUGCCGGCCCGCCGCCUCCGGUUCUGCCGGCGCCGGCCGCUCGGCCCGCAGUCGGAGCUGUGCAUGAUGAGUUCCCCAACGAGCAUGCCGCCUAUAUCGUCUUUACAAGCCAGCCCGAAGACCAGCGCAGCAAACGCCGAGAGAACCAGGAAGUCAGCAUGGUUGCUGCCAACCCCGCCGAGCACAUGCACUAGUCAGAAAAACCUAUCAGCUGGAGCCGGGCCGAUCACCCAGAGGUGAUGCCAUCUCCCGGCUCUUACGCGUUGGUUCUGGAUGCCACCCUUGCAACGGACAGACGCGCCGCCCGCUUCUCCCGUGUGUUGAUAGACGGCGGGAGUAGCAUCAACAUCUUGUACCGCGACACCCUGGAGAAGCUGAACGUCAUGACAAAGCAACUCAUGCCUACUCGAACAGUGUUCCAUGGCAUCAUACCCGGCCUGUCAUGCGCCCCCAUUGGCAUGAUCAAGAUUGAUGUACUUUUUGGGGACAAGGAGCAUUUCCGUCGGGAAGCGAUCUGGUUUGAAGUGGUGGACCUGGAGAGCCCUUACCAUGCAUUGCUUGGCCGACCUGCCUUGGCCAAAUUCAUGGCAGUUCCCCACUAUGCAUACCUCAAGAUGAAGAUACCAAGCACCAAAGGCGCCAUCACCGUAGCCGGCGAUUACAAGAAGUCCUCUGAGUGCGCAGCAGCAAGCAGUCGGCCUUGUCCCCCGAUCCUAAGGAGCAUGAUGCUCAAGGAUCUUUCCAGUCGGCCAAGGAGACGAAGAAGAUACCUCUUGACCCCGAGCACCCAGAGAGGUUUGCCGUCAUCGGGGCAAACCUAAACAGCAAAUAGGAAGGCGAGCUCGCCGAUUUCCUCCAUGAGAAUUGAGACAUCUUUGCAUGGUCCCCCAAGGACAUGCCGGGCGUCCCGAAGGAAUUCGCCGAGCACAAACUACACGUCCGAGAAGACGUAAAGCCAGUCAAACAACCCCUUCGCCGAUUGUCGGAGGAGAAACGCAGGAUUGUGGGAGAGGAGAUAGCCCGGCUUCUGGCAGCCGGCUUCAUUAUGGAAGUUUUCUUUCCAGAGUGGCUCGCCAACCCGGUCCUCGUGCUAAAGAAGAACAACAAGUGGCGCAUGUGUAUAGACUACACGAGCCUCAACAAGGCCUGCCCCAAAGAUCCCUUUGCCCUGCCGAGGAUUGACCAAGUGAUAGACUCCACGGUCGGAUGCGAGCUAUUGAGUUUCUUGGAUGCUUACUCAGGGUAUCACCAGAUAAAGUUGGAUCCGGCAGACCGCCUGAAGACCGCCUUCAUCACGCCAUUCGGAGCCUUCUGCUACCUGACUAUGACAUUUGGCUUGAGAAAUGCCGGUGCCACUUUUCAGCGUUGCAUGCAGAAGUGCCUCCUCAAGCAACUCGGCAGGAAUGCCCAUGUCUACGUAGACGACAUUGUGGUGAAGACGGAGAAGCGCGGCACCUUGCUGGAAGACCUCAAGGAAACAUUUGAGAACCUACGCCGGUUCCAUAUCAAGCUUAACCCCAAGAAAUGUGUGUUCGGAGUACCAGCCGGCCAGCUCCUAGGCUUCCUGGUCUCCGAACGCGGCAUCGAAUGCAACCCAGUAAAGAUCAAGGCCAUUGAGAGAAUGGCGAUUCCCACCAAACUUCAAGAUGUCCAGAAGUUUACCGGAUGCUUGGCCUCCCUAAACCGCUUCAUCAGCCGGCUCGGAGAGAAAGCUCUCCCCCUCUACCGCCUCAUGAAGAAGACCACUCACUUCGAGUGGAACGACCAAGCUGACAAAGCUUUCCACGAGCUGAAGAAGAUGCUGGCCACACCGCCAGUCCUAGCGGCGCCGACUGAGAAAGAGCCCAUGCUCCUCUACAUUGCCGCAACCAGCCGGGUGGUCAGCAGCGUCAUCGUAGUCCAACGCCCAGAAGAAGGCCGAGCCCAGCCGGUCCAGAGGCCGGUGUAUUAUUUGAGCGAGGUGCUGUCUACCUCGAAGCAGAACUACCCGCACUACCAGAAGAUGUGCUAUGGUGUGUACUUCGCCGCCAAGAAGCUGAAGCCCUACUUCCAAGAGCAUCCCAUCACGGUCGUAUGCACCGCCCCGCUGGCCGAGAUCAUCGGCAGCCGGGAUGCAUCCGGCCGGGUGGCGAAAUGGGCCAUCGAGCUGGCCCAUUACAAAAUCUUCUACCAGCCUCGCACCGCCAUCAAGUCCCAAGCAUUGGCAGACUUCCUCGUCGACUGGGCCGAGACCCAGUACCUACCGCCGGCUCCCGACUCCACUCAUUGGCGCAUGCACUUCGAUGGGUCCAAGAUGCGCACCGGCUUGGGAGCCGGCAUCAUCCUCACCUCUCCCAAAGGCGACAAGCUCAGAUACACGCUGCAAAUUCACUUUGCCGCCUCCAACAACAUGGCUGAGUACGAGGCGCUCAUACACGGGCUCCGGCUUGCCAAAGAACUCGGCAUUCGCCGGAUCCUAUGUUAUGGCGACUCAGACUUGGUGGUCCAGCAAUCAUUCGGCGACUGGGAUGCCAAGGACGCAAAUAUGGCAAGAUACCGCUUCCUCGUUCAGCAGAUCAGCGGGUAUUUUGAAGGAUGCGAAUUCCUCCAUGUACCGCGAGCCGACAACGAGCCAGCUGAUGCUCUGGCUCGAAUAGGCUCCACCCAGCAAGCAAUACCAACCGGCGUCUCUCUACAACGCCUCCUCAAGCCGUCUAUCAAGCCGUCUCCAGAGUCCGAUUCCAUCUUCGUCUCGCCUGACCCCGACGCGGCCGGGUCUGGCUCGAAGAACCAAGCAGGUGGCCCGGGGACUUCGAUAGUCGGCCAGGGGGUAUCAGCAGGCAGCUCGAGGACUUCCGUAGUUACGCCCGACCCGGGGACUGCCUCACCCGGCACGGGGACUACGGUAGUCGGCCCGGAGACUACACCAACACAACAGGCGGCGGCUAACUCCAGCAUUUCACCGCCCAGCCCGCCCGCCCUAGUCACAGUAGCCGUUUUGGCAAUAGAAGAAGUCGCAGCUCCGUCAUGGGCUCAAUCCAUCCUCAACUUCCUAAUAAACCAAGAUCUGCCGGUUGACGAAGUAGAGGCAAGACAAGUCCAACGCCGAGCCGGAGCAUACACAAUCGUCAACAGAGAGCUUGUCAAGCGUAGUGUCACUGGAGUCCUCCAGCGAUGCGUCGAGCAAGAGAAGGGCAUUGCAAUCCUCAGAGACAUCCACCAAGGAGAAUGCAGCCACCAUGCGGCCUCAAGAUCACUCGUCACCAAAGCCUUCCGCCAUGGUUUCUUUUGGCCAACUGCUUUGGAUGACGCCAAGGAGUUAGUUAAACAUUGCAAAGGGUGCCAACUCUUCAGCUCCAAGCAACACAUGCCGGCUUCAGCAUUCAAGACCAUUCCCCUCACCUGGCCCUUCGCCGUUUGGGGACUGGACAUGGUGGGCCCAUUCAAGACGGCGCGCGGCGGCAUGACACAUCUGCUUGUCGCCGUGGACAAAUUCACCAAAUGGAUUGAAGCAAAGCCGAUAAAGAAGCUGAAUGGGCCGACUGCCGUCACAUUUAUCGCAGAUAUAGCAACUCGGUACGGCGUGCCACAUAGCAUCAUCACCGACAAUGGCACAAAUUUCGCCAAGGGAGCCUUGGCACGUUUCUGCGCGACGCAAGGCAUCCGGUUGGAUCUAGCAUCCGUCGCCCACCCGCAGUCAAACGACCAGGUCGAGCGAGCCAACGGCCUCAUCCUUUCCAGCAUCAAGCCUCGACUGAUCGUACCACUGGAGCGUUCAGCCGGCUAUUGGCUCGAUGAGCUGCUGGCUGUCCUCUGGAGUCUGCGCACUACACCAAACAAGUCAACCGGCUUCACCCCUUUAUUCCUCGUGUAUGGUGCCGAGGCGGUCAUCCAACUGACAUCGAGUUUGACUCGCCUCGAGUAACCAUGUACACGGAAGCGGAGGCCAAGGAAGCACGAGAAGACGGCGUCGACCUGCUGGAAGAAAGCCGGCUGUUAGCCCUCAGCCGGUCCGCCAUCUAUCAGCAGGGCCUGCGCCGCUACCACAGCCGGAAGGUCAAGCCAAGAUCCUUCCAAGAGGGCGAUCUUGUGCUCCGGCUGAUCCAGUGAACAGCCGGCCAGCACAAGCUCUCGGCCCCUUGGGAGGGCCCCUUCGUCAUCAGCAGAGCCUUAGGCAACGACUCCUACUACCUGAUCGACGCGCAGAAGCCGAAGGCACGAAAGAGAGACGACUCCGGCAAGGAGUCGGAACGACCAUGGAACGCCAACCUCCUCCGAAGGUUUUACAGCUGAAAUGCAGUAUGUAUCACGCUAACUUUUGUACUAAGUACGAGACAAUAGGGCCCCCGAGGAGAGCUCGGGGACUGCCAUCUUUUGUCUAUAAAUGAAAAGUAUCAUGCUUAUGGCCUUGUCAUUGCAUUUACUUUUUCCGUCCGGCACCGGGUUCGACUAGUCGGCCCAGGGACUGGCCGCCUGGAGUUAUAUUAGAAGUCCUACCCGCAGUCAGACAAGUAGUGUGCCGGCUCCCAAGCCUUCUCUUACCAAAAGUCGCAGUUCGAAGAACCGGCUGUCCGGCUGGCAAGAGUUAAGGGCAGGAACGGGUGCCCACACGAAAAACGGCUAGGGACUAACGGACUAAUAUAACAAAAGCCGGUUUUUCUCCCACCGCCGACCGGCUACCAAAGUAGCCGGCCGGCCGGCUUCCAUUCACCUCGCUCCAAUCUAAGAAAGCUUGAGUACUUGCCUUCCCAGAAGGGGAAGACGGCAAAGGAAACAACCUAAGGAUAAAAAGCAUACAUGAAUGGAAACCAAACAUGCACACAAUAAUAUUUACAUAAAAGACCUUCAAAAGGCUAGCAUUCAACAUAGUUUGGAUACACCCCCAGUGGGUGGAACUGCGAAAGCUUAAUAAAAUUGUUCAGAAGGCAACAAGCAGGAAAAAACAAGGACGGCAGAUUAAGCUGGCGGAGCGACCGAAGAGCCGGGCAGGUCGGUGGAGACGGCAGUGCCAGCUGGAGGAGCGGCCGGCUGGCGAACCUCGGCAUGAUCACUGCCUCCCGCAGAGGGCGCGCUUGCGCGUGCCUCGUUGCUGGAGGCACGGUUAGGCUGAGGCUGGCUGGCUGUUCCACCGGCCGGCUCGACGUCUUCGUCUUCCUCUACUUCGUCGUCUUCGCCUUCGUCGCUGGAGGCGAUUUCUUCUGCCGAGUCUUCACCCGCCGCCGGAUCCAGCCCGAACCACUCCUCCGCCUGGGCAACGCCGUCAUCAUUAAUCUCGGGACCGAAGACGCUGAUGUCAGUACACUCGGCGAUUGUUGAUGCGCGCUGAGUGAUAGCCGACCGCACCUCCGCUAGCUCCUCGUCGGCCUCCAGCCGCCAGGUGCGCAGCUGGUCCAGGUUCAGCCCCGGAUACCAAGCUCGAACGAACUCCAGCGCCCGCCCAGCUCCAAGCCGGGCCGCCGACACCUUCCAGGCCUCGAAGCGGCCAACCGCAACCUCCAGCCAGUCGGCAGUCCGACUUGGGGUGCGGGGAAUCGCCUCGCUUGGCCAGAGGGCGGCCAACACCUGCGCUCCGGCGUGCUGGAGGCAGCGGAGCAUACGAUGAGCCGGCUACAGCCGCGCUUGGACUGCCAAGAGUUGCUCUUCGAGCGACCGACUCGCGUCCGACGCGACUUCAGCCCCCGCCUGCCGGCGCGCUUCGCGAUGGGCCUCGAUGGUUUGGGCGGCGAGGACGGAGCAGCCAGGAAAGUAGUCUGCAUAGAGAAUAAAAAGCAGCUCAAGUCAGAACACAAGUCAGGCGGCAAGGGGCAGGCAAGGAGCGCGGAAGGCGGCUUACUGUCGAUCAAAUCCUCAAUACGGCCGAAGCCUUCAUUCAGCGCUUGCCUAGUCUCAGCCCAGCCCGCCGCUUCAGUCUCGAACUCGGCCUUCAGGGCGGCUUCGUUAUCCUGCGCCUUCUUCAGAGCCACCUUGUGGCUCUCCUCCUGGUCAGCCAGCUUCUUGGCCAGGCGGUCACGCUCCAGGACCAAGGCGUCGUACUCGGUUUCCUUGGCACGAAGGGCGGCCUCCGCCUCGCUGAGCUGCCCCCUUAAGUCGGCGUUGGCUUCUGCGAGCACGAAAGACAAAAGAAAAACCAGUAAGGUGAAGUCGUCAUGAAAGAUCCGACCCGACUGCUCAGCAGUCGGCCCGAAUCUCGGGGACUACACCCAGUGGGUGCACUGACGCGCCCCCACAGGAGAUGAACGAAACCAAGUACGUACUCCGGCUGCUGAUCAGGUCUUCGGUUCUCCGACCCAGCUCCUGGGCCUGGGAGUUGAAGGCGGCAGCGCGGAGGUUAUGAUACUCCUGGAAGAUUAGACAGGGGGCGAGAAUAAGGUAGUCGUCAAGGAAGAUCCGACCCGACUGCUCAGCAGUCGGCCCGAAUCUCGGGGACUACACCUAGUGGGUGCGCUGACGCGCCCCCACGGAAGAAAUUAAGAGAACAAAGCAACCAAAGAUAGAAGACUCACCCGGAUGAUGGCCCGCGUCGCAAGGAACUCCUGGGUGUAUUGCUGCAGCGAGGCGGCUUGGGCCUGAAGCCGGUUCCGAACCUCUUGGGCCGCCACAUUCAGCUCGCCCGUCCCGCCGCUGGGAGUCCACUCGGACGUGCCGGUGCUGGCCGCCUCCAGGGCCUCCGCCAUCCGGCGGGCACCCGAAGCUCGAUGCGGCUCCGGCGCAGCGGUGCCUCCCCCUGCGUGCUGGCGCACUGCCGGCUGCACCUCGAGGCCGGCUCCCGCUUCCGGCUCACCCCCAGCCGGUUGCUCUGGCCCCGCAGCCGACUGGCCGCCUUGGCCCGCUCCGGUUGGGGCUGCGGGCGGCGCCCUCUCCACGAAGAUCACGGAGUCCUCCCUCCACUCCAUCACCGGCGGUUCUUGGUCGACCUCCUCCAGCGGAGGCACAGGAAUGUUGGGGCCACGGCACGGAGGGGAAUGACUAGCAGCGGAGGCUGGUUGUGCGAAGCCUCCGCCUCCGUCUCCGCAGCUGCCGCCUCCGUCCGAGCCUUGGCUGCUGCGUCGGCCUGCUCCUUCAUCGCCUGGGCGGCCCUUCGCUCCGCCGCCUCCCGCUCCUCCCACGCCUCUCGUUGCGUUCCGCUCCGUGGCCUCCCUGAGGUCGGCGCAGGGAUCCAUGCGGUGGGAGCCUGAAGACCCUCCAGUCGGCCCGACUACGGAGCCGCCCAGACCCCGCUCAAGGGAAAGCGGCGCCCUGUCCGGCGAGCAAAGAAAGGUUUAGAAGAGUUUUCAAUCGAAAAGAAGAACAACAAAAAAUAUAUCCAAGCAUUCGACGACUUACGCUGAGAUCGCCUGCGGCUGCUUCACCGCCUUGCGGAAGCGGGCCGCCUUCACGGCCGCCUCAUCUCGCUUGGUCGCCGCUAUGGAAGCCUUGGACUUCUUCGGACGGCUACCGAAGAGGAUUGACACGGCCCGGUGCUUCUGGGCGCCGCCGCCAGCAGCCGGCGUGGCGGACAAGCUCGUGCUUUAAUGAUCAGGCGCCGGCUGGCGGCGCGGGGCGACUUCAACCUCGGCAUCAUCCGGCCAGUCCUCGAAGCCGGCCGUGAGCCCUGCACCUCCGGACCCGUCGCUUUCCCCCACGAUGGCGUCUUCCAUGGCGGCCACUCCCAAGUCCGGGUCGUCAGCAUCGUCCACCAUGCGGUCGGGUAGGAGCUGGUGCUCUACCCCCGCGGCCCCGGCUGUCGGCGGGAGAAGAGGGUUCUGCAAAAGGCAAACGAAUUGAUCAAGAGUCGGCUAUCAUGAGGCCGGCUACAAAAGGAAGAAAAGAAGAAAAAACUUACGACGGGCGGAGGGUUGGCGCGAGAGUAUGGCCCCUUGCCGUACCGCCAAUCCUCGGCGAGCUUGCACUUGGAGAUAUAGUUCACCAUGUAGGAGACCUCCGCAUGAGGCAUCUCCCUGGUGCUCAGCCGGCAUGGGUCGAAGCGGCCGCUCAUCUGACAAACCAUGUGAGGCCGGCUUUGGAGGGGAAGAACCCGGCACUCCACGAAGGCGGCCACCAAGUCGGCUCCGGUCAGGCUCUCCGACUGGAUCAUCACCCGAAGCCGGAAGACGGCUGCAUUCCCGGCCUGAGACAGCGACCUGGCCCGGUAGCUCCACGAAGGCUGCCUCCUAGCCGGCGGGCCGGCUACGUAAUCCGGCAGGUUGACGUAGUCGCCUUGCUGGGCGACGUUCCUCACGUAGAAAUAAGACUUCUGCCAAAGCUUCACCGAUUGGAUCAGUGGAAUGGACGGGAACGGAUUGUUCUCGCUCGCCCGCCUCAUGGCGAUGAAGGCUCCGCAGGGGGCGGGCACGCCCGCGAUGACGGUGCCGAGUUUGCUCUGGAAGAAUUCCGCCCAGAGCUCGAGCGUGGGGAGGACCCCAAGGAAGCCCUCACACAGCGUGACGAAGGCCGACAGCAGCAUCAUCGCGUUGGGCGUGAGGUGAUACGGCUGGAGGUUGUAGAAUUCGAGGAAGGCCCGGAGGAACCCGCUCGCCGGAAGGCCGAAGCCGCGCAGGCAGUGCGAGCGGAAGAUCACCCGCUCGCCUUCCUCCGGUGCCGGCAAAAUCUCCUUCUCCGGCGCUAGACGAACCCGAAUGAAGUUCUCGCCGGGCAGGCAUCGCGUCUGGCGGAGGAACGCGACGUGGUCCUCAUGGACGUUGGAGACAUCCCACGAGCUUGACAACGCCAUGGGGCAGCGCGGCGAGAAGCAAGACGAUGCGGCAGCGGAACGGCGUGGCAAAGAGGUGCUGCGGGGAAGAGAAGAAGAAGGAGGGCGAGAAGGGGGCGGAGUGAGGGAGAGCACGCGAGCCUCUGCCGCUCCCCCUCCUCCUCCUACUUAUAGACCGCGCGGCGGAGCCGAGGAGGCGCGGCGUGGGGGAACGUGGGGAUCAACUGCGCCCACUCCCCCACGUCCCGCGAUUACUGUGCCUUGAUGGCAGAAUAAAACCGCCGCGGGAAGGCGAGCGGUCCAUGUGGGCCGCGGAAGAUCCGCGCUCGGACCGAGGCCUGCGAGUGGCGGGCCCGGGCCUGCGGCGGCGUCCCGUUAUGUGCGUGCGUUGGUAGGAUUUCCUCGCCACGUGGCCCGCGUUCCUGCCUACAAGAAACGGAGCUCUCCGAAGUCGGCGCGCACAAGCAAAGCCGGCCCCUCACGAUAGGAAGCUGACCAAGCUUCUCGUCCCUUUAUCAGCCUCGAAGCUCGCUCAGCUUCGGGGACUACUGUCGGAGUAAGUGACCACGGGUAGCCUAGCCGGCUCCCCCUGGCCUUUCUGAAAAAAUUACGAGCCGAUCCGGCUCUUAAGAAUCCAAGACAUGGGGCCGCCUUCCCCUGGCCGGCUGUCUCCCAGGCCGGCUAUUGGAAGGCGGCCCGACUUCAGCCCUCAUGAAGAAAGCCGCGGGAGGGCCAGCUCCAAGGAGCCGGCUGCGAGAAGGCCGACUCUGAGGAGCCGGCUCCCAUAAAGCGGUUAAGACCGUACCCCCGAAGUCUGCAUCCACAUAACGGCGAUGUGAUGGGGCGUGGCUACAGUGAAGCCUGCCACCCCCGAAUCCCGGAGUGCGCCUGGCACAGUGCGCCGUACGGGUGGCCAUGACCCGUCCGGCGCGGCACUGUUGCCACACUGACCCUGAUGUCAUCUAGAACGGGCUCCCAGUACGGCCCACGGGCGGUGGGCCUCUUCAGGCAGAGAGACACCUGAAGGUGGCCUGGCCUUCCCCAGCCGGCCCGAGAUGGAGCCGGCUCUCUCCAGCCGGCUUGCCACCCCCUUGAAGGAGACGCCCCAUUAAGAAGACAAGACGCGGUGAGGCUACAGUGGUCACCCGCCGGACGGCAGCACUGUAGCCAUGCUUACCUCGGCGAAGCCCUCGUCACCAAGAUUGAGCAACAGUAACCAGCCACCGACAAGGCCCUGGACAGUGGGGCCUGCCUGUCGACCAGGGAGCCGGCAGCCGGCAGGACCCACCAGCCGGCGGGCCCCAGCAGCCGGCGGAGAAGGCGAAGAGCGAAGACACAGACGGCUGGGCCCCACGCCCAGCCGGAUUACCGUUGUACCCCCGGGGGGUAGGCCUAUAUAAACCCCCCGGGACACCCAUGCAAAGGGUGGAUCCCUGCUAGUUUUAGACACCACGUAGGGAGGAGAAGAGAGCAAGCAGAGCCCUUCUUCCUCCUCUCGCCAAACAGCUCAAGGAGCAUCAUGUAGCUACUUGUUCAUCUAGUGAUCAUGCGGAGACCCCGCAGAGCAGCAGUAGGGGUGUUAUCUCCACGGAGAGCCCCGAAGCUGGGUAAGAUUCGCCGGCGUGCAUGUCUUCGCCUCAUCCCGUUUCCAGGCACCGGCGAUGUUUUACUGGCUCCCACAAUGAUAAGCCACGCGCUGGCAUAUGUCGCACCUACCACCCGACAAAACGUCAAGACCAAACUCUAACAAAUUUUUUUACCGCAAAUAGUUUUCCGAAUACCCCAUUCAUAUCAUAGAAGACCAGCACUUUUGGAUGAGGUGUGAACUAAGAUAGAGUUGAGGGCUGGACCUAUAGCUACCUUAACAGAGCACAUUGAUUUACGGACCAAGAGUGAAUUAGAAUCAUCUUUUUUGGCGAAGUGAAUUAGAAUCAUCUUGCUAGAGAUAACAUGCCCUUUCUAUGUAUUAUCAUUCACUUAUUUAUAAAAGUUAAAUAAAACAGUAGCGUUAAAUGAACCUUGUAGUCAUUUUCAUAUGUUGCCAAUGGUUAGGGAAUUUCAUGGAGACAUGGAACAUAACACCCCUUCUUGCGCAAAUCUCAUUAUCUUAGGUAUUUCUUGAAAAUUUUCAACUUACAAUUCUAUAAACUUGUGUUAGUUUAUAUUUCCACCAAAUCCAUUAAUUGAGGGGACUCGUGUGUGAUAGAUUUUUUUAUCCAGAUUCGAAUGUGCCAUCAAAGUUUCCUCAUUUACUCCCAAUAUGCAAAUAUUUCUUUAUUGAGGUCGAACCUUAUAACUUAUCUAGAAACCUUAAGAUACUCACGCAUUCUCGUAACAGAUAUUUGUGUAAGUGGGAAAUUUCUCAUAUUUAAAAAUAAUGUUGACUUGUUUCAAAAUACAAACAAAAGCUAUCAAAGUACAUACUUAAUGAUGCUGAAAUGUUGCCAGAAUGUUGUGGAAAUACUGAGAGUAAAAUGGUAUUUUCAACUAACAACGGUCACUGGUAGAAAAAGAGGCUUCCGUCCAGCCCCAUUAGUCGCGAAACUGUAGGAACCGCGACUAAUGAAGUCUUUAGUCGCGGUUCGGCAGACGAACCGCGACCAAAGGCCUGGGCCCAGGGCGCUCGGUGGCCAGCUGGUGCACGUGAGGGGCUUUAGUCGCGGUUGGCCAGGCCAACCGCGACUAAAGGUGCCCAAAGGCCUUUAGUNNNNNNNNNNNNNNNNNNNNNNNNNNNNNNNNNNNCUUUAGUCGCGGUUGGCCAGGCCAACCGCGACUAAAGCUCCUCCCCUAUAUAUACCAGUUCAGCGCACUCACUUAGCCAUUUGGUGCCACUUCUCUUCACAAGGGGGUGUAGGUUUGCUUUUGGUUCCUCUUAUGCACACAAGGUGUUUGAUGAAAUGCCCCAACAGCGUGAAACAAACAUGAUAUGAAGUGUUGGAGCCACACUUGAGGUUCCUCCUCGAUCGCGGUUAGCAACUUGAACCUUUCAUGCAUGUGUGUCAUUGAUAAAAUAUGCAUGUGUGUUGUUCAUUGUUUAAUUUCUAUUGUUUAUAGCUAGUUAGUUUAACAAAUGCAUGAUGGUUAAUUAUAUAUUUUAUAUUAUAAUAAUGCAGAUGAAUCGGCAAUGGAUGUACGGUAACCGACUCUCCCGCGAGUUCACUAUGGGUUUGAAAGAUUUCCUUGUAGUGGCUAAUGCGAACAAGCAGAAGGGUUUUGUUAUCUGUCCAUGUGUUGACUGUAAGAAUCAGAAGGGUUACUCUUGCUCAAGAGAAGUUCACCUGCACCUACUUCGGCACGGUUUCAUGCCAAGCUAUAAUUGUUGGACCAAGCAUGGAGAAAGAGGGGUUAUAAUGGAAGAAGAUGAAGAAGGGGAUGAUUUCAUCGAUGAAAGCUAUCUUGCUCAUUUUGGUGAUACUUUCAUGGAGGAUGCUGAAGGUGAAGGGGAAGGUGAAGGGGAAGGUGAAGGGGAAGGUGAAGGGGGAGGUGAAGGUGAAGGUGAAGAAGAGGCACGUGAUGAGACCGUUGAUGAUCUUGGUCGGACCAUUGCUGAUGCACGGAGACGCUGCGAAACUGAAAAGGAGAGGGAGAAUUUGGAUCGCAUGUUAGAGGAUCACAGAAAGUCGUUGUACCCCGGAUGCGAUGAUGGUCUGAAAAAGCUGGGCUGCACACUGGAUUUGCUAAAAUGGAAGGCACAGGCAGGUGUAGCUGACUCGGCAUUUGAAAACUUGCUGAAAAUGUUGAAGAAUAUGUUUCCAAAGAAUAACGAGUUGCCCGCCAGUACGUACGAAGCAAAGAAGGUUGUCUGCCCUCUAGGUUUAGAGGUUCUGAAGAUACAUGCAUGCAUCAACGACUGCAUCCUCUACCGCGGUGAAUACGAGAAUUUGAAUGAAUGCCCGGUAUGCACUGCAUUGCGUUAUAAGAUCAGAGGCGAUGACCCUGGUGACGAUGUUGAGGGCGAGAAACCCAGGAAGAGGGUUCCCGCCAAGGUGAUGUGGUAUGCUCCUAUAAUACCACGGUUGAAACGUCUGUUCAGGAACAAAGAGCAUGCCAAGUUGUUGCGAUGGAACAAAGAGGACCGUAAGUCGGACGGGGAGUUGAGACACACCGCAGAUGGAACGCAAUGGAGAAAGAUCGACAGAGAGUUCAAAGAUUUUGCAGCUGACGCAAGGAACAUAAGAUUUGGUCUAAGUACAGAUGGCAUGAAUCCUUUUAGCGAGCAGAGCUCCAGCCAUAGCAUCUGGCCCGUGACUCUAUGCAUCUACAACCUUCCUCCUUGGUUGUGCAUGAAGCGGAAGUUCAUUAUGAUGCCAGUGCUCAUCCAAGGUCCGAAGCAACCCGGCAACGACAUCGAUGUGUACCUAAGGCCAUUAGUUGAUGAACUUUUACAGCUGUGGGGUAGACCUGGUGUCCGUGUGUGGGAUGAGCACAAAAAAGAGGAAUUUAACCUACGAGCGUUGCUUUUCAUAACCAUCAACGAUUGGCCUGCUCUUAGUAACCUUUCGGGACUGUCAAAUAAGGGAUACAAUGCAUGCACGCACUGCUUACAUGAGACUGAAAGUGUACAUUUGCCAAAUUGUAAGAAGAACGUGUACCUUGGGCAUCGUCGAUUUCUUCCGAAAAUUCAUCCAGUAAGAAAGAAAGGCAAGCAUUACAACGGCAAGGCAGAUCACCGGCCGAAGCCUGCGGAACGCACUGGUGCUGAGGUAUUUGAUAUGGUCAAGGAUUUGAAAGUCAUCUUUGGAAAGGUUCCUGGCGGACAAUCAGUUCCGAAGGGAGCUGACGGGCACGCAGCCAUGUGGAAGAAGAAAUCUAUAUUCUGGGAGCUAGAAUAUUGGAAAGUCCUAGAAGUCCGCUCUGCAAUCGACGUGAUGCACGUUACGAAGAAUAUUUGCAUGAACCUCCUAAGCUUCUUGGGCGUGUAUGGGAAGACAAAUGAUACAAAGGAAGCACGGCAGGACCAGCAACGUUUGAAAGACCCUAAUGACCGGCAUCCGGAAUGGUUUCAAGGUCGUGCCAGCUACACUCUGACCAAAGAAGAGAAGGUCAUCUUUUUUGAAUGCCUGAGCAGUAUGAAGGUCCCGUCUGGAUUCUCGUCCAAUAUAAAGGGAAUAAUAAACAUGGCGGAGAAAAAGUUCCAAAACCUGAAGUCUCACGACUGCCACGUGAUUAUGACGCAAUUGCUUCCGAUUGCUUUGAGGGGGCUCCUGCCGGAAAAUGUUCGAGUAGCCAUUGUGAAGCUAUGUGCAUUCCUCAAUGCAAUCUCUCGGAAGGUAAUCAAUCCAGAAGAUCUACCAUGGUUACAGAACGAUGUGAUCCAAUGUCUUGUCAGUUUCGAGUUGGUGUUCCCGCCAUCCUUCUUCAAUAUUAUGACGCACCUCUUGGUUCACCUAGUCGAAGAGAUUUUCAUUCUCGGUCCUGUAUUUCUACACAAUAUGUUCCCCUUCGAGAGGUUCAUGGGAGUAUUAAAGAAAUAUGUUCGUAACCGUGCUAGGCCAGAAGGAAACAUCGCCAAGGGCUAUGGAAAUGAGGAGGUAAUUGAGUUUUGUGUUGACUUUGUUCCUGACCUUAAGCCGAUUGGUCUUCCUCGAUCGCGGCACGAGGGGAGACUAAGUGGAAAAGGCACGAUCGGAAGGAAAUCAACGAUAUGUAUGGACGGCCAUUCUCUGAUUGAGGCACACCACACUGUACUGACCAAUUCCAGCUUGGUGGCUCCGUACUUUGAGAAACACAAGAAUAUUUUACGCUCGGACAACCCGGGGAAGCCUGAAUCCUGGAUUAGGAAGGCCCACAUGGAGACUUUCGGCAGUUGGUUGAGAAAACAUUUAAUGAAUGACAAUGAUGUUGUAGAUCAGCUGUACAUGUUGGCCAAGACACCAUCUUCGACUAUAACGACUUUCCAAGGGUACGAGAUAAAUGGGAAUACAUUUUACACGAUCGCCCAAGAUAAAAAGAGCACCAACCAAAACAGUGGUGUCCGCUUUGAUGCAGCAACCGAGAAUGGGCAAAAGGUCACAUAUUAUGGUUACAUAGAGGAGAUAUGGGAACUUGACUAUGGACCCUCCUUUAAGGUCCCUUUGUUCCGGUGCAAAUGGUUCAAGCUAACAGGAGGUGGGGUAAAGGUGGACCAGCAAUACGGAAUGACAAUGGUGGAUUUCAACAAUNNNNNNNNNNNNNNNNNNNNNNNNNNNNNNNNNNNNNNNNNNNNNNNNNNNNNNNNNNNNNNNNNNNNNNNNNNNNNNNNNNNNNNNNNNNNNNNNNNNNNNNNNNNNNNNNNNNNNNNNNNNNNNNNNNNNNNNNNNNNNNNNNNNNNNNNNNNNNNNNNNNNNNNNNNNNNNNNNNNNNNNNNNNNNNNNNNNNNNNNNNNNNNNNNNNNNNNNNNNNNNNNNNNNNNNNNNNNNNNNNNNNNNNNNNNNNNNNNNNNNNNNNNNNNNNNNNNNNNNNNNNNNNNNNNNNNNNNNNNNNNNNNNNNNNNNNNNNNNNNNNNNNNNNNNNNNNNNNNNNNNNNNNNNNNNNNNNNNNNNNNNNNNNNNNNNNNNNNNNNNNNNNNNNNNNNNNNNNNNNNNNNNNNNNNNNNNNNNNNNNNNNNNNNNNNNNNNNNNNNNNNNNNNNNNNNNNNNNNNNNNNNNNNNNNNNNNNNNNNNNNNNNNNNNNNNNNNNNNNNNNNNNNNNNNNNNNNNNNNNNNNNNNNNNNNNNNNNNNNNNNNNNNNNNNNNNNNNNNNNNNNNNNNNNNNNNNNNNNNNNNNNNNNNNNNNNNNNNNNNNNNNNNNNNNNNNNNNNNNNNNNNNNNNNNNNNNNNNNNNNNNNNNNNNNNNNNNNNNNNNNNNNNNNNNNNNNNNNNNNNNNNNNNNNNNNNNNNNNNNNNNNNNNNNNNNNNNNNNNNNNNNNNNNNNNNNNNNNNNNNNNNNNNNNNNNNNNNNNNNNNNNNNNNNNNNNNNNNNNNNNNNNNNNNNNNNNNNNNNNNNNNNNNNNNNNNNNNNNNNNNNNNNNNNNNNNNNNNNNNNNNNNNNNNNNNNNNNNNNNNNNNNNNNNNNNNNNNNNNNNNNNNNNNNNNNNNNNNNNNNNNNNNNNNNNNNNNNNNNNNNNNNNNNNNNNNNNNNNNNNNNNNNNNNNNNNNNNNNNNNNNNNNNNNNNNNNNNNNNNNNNNNNNNNNNNNNNNNNNNNNNNNNNNNNNNNNNNNNNNNNNNNNNNNNNNNNNNNNNNNNNNNNNNNNNNNNNNNNNNNNNNNNNNNNNNNNNNNNNNNNNNNNNNNNNNNNNNNNNNNNNNNNNNNNNNNNNNNNNNNNNNNNNNNNNNNNNNNNNNNNNNNNNNNNNNNNNNNNNNNNNNNNNNNNNNNNNNNNNNNNNNNNNNNNNNNNNNNNNNNNNNNNNNNNNNNNNNNNNNNNNNNNNNNNNNNNNNNNNNNNNNNNNNNNNNNNNNNNNNNNNNNNNNNNNNNNNNNNNNNNNNNNNNNNNNNNNNNNNNNNNNNNNNNNNNNNNNNNNNNNNNNNNNNNNNNNNNNNNNNNNNNNNNNNNNNNNNNNNNNNNNNNNNNNNNNNNNNNNNNNNNNNNNNNNNNNNNNNNNNNNNNNNNNNNNNNNNNNNNNNNNNNNNNNNNNNNNNNNNNNNNNNNNNNNNNNNNNNNNNNNNNNNNNNNNNNNNNNNNNNNNNNNNNNNNNNNNNNNNNNNNNNNNNNNNNNNNNNNNNNNNNNNNNNNNNNNNNNNNNNNNNNNNNNNNNNNNNNNNNNNNNNNNNNNNNNNNNNNNNNNNNNNNNNNNNNNNNNNNNNNNNNNNNNNNNNNNNNNNNNNNNNNNNNNNNNNNNNNNNNNNNNNNNNNNNNNNNNNNNNNNNNNNNNNNNNNNNNNNNNNNNNNNNNNNNNNNNNNNNNNNNNNNNNNNNNNNNNNNNNNNNNNNNNNNNNNNNNNNNNNNNNNNNNNNNNNNNNNNNNNNNNNNNNNNNNNNNNNNNNNNNNNNNNCCUCCCUCGCCCACCGCGCCGCCUCUCGCCCGCCCUCAACGCCGCCGGCCGGCCUCGCUGCCGCGCGCGCACGCGCGCGCCUCUCUACAGAGAGCGAGAUCGUGGAGAGAGAGAGAGAAUUUUUUUUUGUUCUUUUUAAUUUUAACUAGUUAAUUAGUUUAACAAAAGCGGUAAAAUAACUUAACAAAAAACGUAUAACCGUAAAAUUUGAUAACCGUAUAACCGUAAAAUAACUUAACAAAAACGGUAAAAUAACUUAACAAAAAACGUAUAACCGUAAAAUAAAUUAACAAAAAAACGUAUAACUUAACAAAUAACCGUAAAAUUUGAUAAUUAACAAAAAAAACGUAUAUACGGAGAGGGGGCGGCGAGGGGGGCGACGAUGCGCGCGGUGUUUUUUUAGGGAUCGAGAGGGGGCGGCGAGGGUUAUACAUGUGUGUUGUCCUCGCCUCCCUCUCCGUGACGCCGUCGUCUGCCGCCCCGUCUCGCGCUCUACCGCGACACCCUCUCCCACCCCUUCCUCGCCCCCUCCUUUUGCCACCGCCCUUUCGCCACCGCCACCGCCACCGCCCCCCUUCUUCACUUAAUUAAUUUGUUUUUACUACAUGUUUUCAGGACUGACAUAAUGGCGGACGAUAGAGCUGACCCGAUUAUGGACAACUAUGAUCCGGACGGUGAAGCACAUAUGUUCGGCAUCAUAAACGGCGAUAUUCUAUAUGUGCCGACCGGACAAGAAGAAGAUGAUAUCUCUUCUUAUCUGAACCUUGACGGUGAAGAUGAAGGGCGCCGUCAGCAAGAUGAUGUCGAACAAACGUCGAUAAACGACGAUCUUCAAAUGGAAGUAGCAACCACCUCCGGCGCCGAGGUAUAUAUAUACAUUGAGCCUCUGGUGAUACAAACUAACUGAUUUGAAUAAAUAUGUGUGUACUAACGCGCGCGACUCUCUUUCUUAUUUUAGCCCUCGGCCGGAUCGUCGAAACAAUCGAGUACGUCGUCAAAGCGUGGCGCAACCAAGACGAUGAAACAAGGAGAAACAUGCACCAUCGAGGUUGUCAAUAGUGCAACCGGCAGGCCGCUGGAGCCCCGCAAGAACGCCACCAAGUUUGUCAACCAAUGCGGAGCCAUUGUUAGAGACAACGUCUCGAUCACCGUCCAGGAGUGGAAUAAGCCAAAGAAGGCACGAAUUGCUGGUUUCACUUUUGUCGAUAAGAGAACAAAAAAAGAUUGCUUCAAGAAGCUUAUGGAACAUUUCGUUCUACCUCCGAAAUACAACAAAUUCGAUGAGGAGGGUAACAAGAUUGAGGAAAACAAGGAGAGGAGGAGGCUAGUCAAACAGUUCGCUCUUCAUAAGAUGGCCGACGCAUUCCGGAAUUUCAAGCAAAAUCUAGCCCAUGACUUUGUCAAGCAGAACAAGACUCCGGAUUUCAAAGGACAAUAUGAGAAACUGAAACAUGAUUGGCCAGAAUUUGUGAAGCAAAAGAAAUCGGAGCAGUUCAUUCAAAUAUCGAAAAAAAAUAAGGAAAAUGCGGCUAAGAAGGAGUACAAUCAUAUUAUGGGGCCAGGAGGGUAUCGCCUUUGGGAGCCUAGGUGGGAGAAGAUGGAGAACGAGCUGAGGGCGCGAGGAAUCCGUCCAGGUACGGAGGGAUGGGACCCAAGGGCCAAAAGCUGGUGGUACGGGCAUGGGGGAACACUGAACCCGGAGACAGGGGAGUGUGUUUACCGGGGCAAAAUAAUUAAACCCACCCAAGCCCUUAUUGACGCAAUGAGGGAUGCUCAAGAGGGGAAGAUCAAGUUCAACAGAGAGAACGACGCGCUGACAAAAGCCCUCGGGAAUCCUGAACACGGAGGACGUGUACGAGGCAUGGGGCACAUUCCGUGGAAAAUAGGGUUCCCCCAGAACGAUGACCCGUACGGUUACAGAAGCCGGAAGAGAAAGAUGGAUCGGGAAGCAGAUGUUGUGGCGCGGUUGGCAUCGGAAAUGGAUGUGAUGAAGAAAACCGUGAGUGUACUAGUAGCCGAAAGAGAUGCAGCUCGGGCGCAGCAUGAAGAUCAUCCAGCGGAUCUCAGAAGCCAGCAGCGGAGAAGCAGUGUGGCUUCCACGGAGGCCCCACCGGCUGGUGCAGAUGCACCGACGAUCGAAAUUACUGCACCGGAGCCUCUGGUGGUCGAAAUUACUGCACCAGAGCCUCUGGUGGUCGAAAUUACUGCACCGGAGCCUCCUCGCUACCCCGUGGACGAUAUAAAGGAGAUGAAAGAAUGUCAUCUGUAUUAUCCUAUCGGGAACAUGUCCAUGAAGGUAGCCAUCGGCAGUGCUUUACCAUGUUUACCUGGAGCACUCCACCACAACAACCCCAUUCAAGAUGGCUAUGCUCGUGUCACGGUGGAGGACAUAGUCCAAGGGUUUGAGGACCUGGAGAUUGACAUUGCUACACCUGAAGGGGAGAAAAGACUUGGAGAUGUCAAGCGCCAUUUCAUUCUAUGGCAAAAGAAGUUUAUCAAGUUUCCAGGCGAGGCGCCAAGGACAACAAGUCCACCCCCCUACGGUGGUGGCGGUUCACCUACACCUCCGUCACGUUAGCCGACGCCCCCCAGUCCACAACGUCCGGCGGGUGAUCAGACGCCGCCCCCCAGUCCUCGUCCGAUGGGUGAUCAGACGCCGCCCCCCAAUCCACCUCCGGCAAAGAAGCAGAAGCAGUCCUGGAUUAUUAACCCGGACCCUUAUGUACCUAAGACCACAAAGGUACCGGACCCAUCACUGAAGCCUCUCCCCACAAGGCCUUGGGAACGUAGUGCCAAGGAAACUGCCGCGGCCGCGGCUGCUGAUCAUGAGAAAUGGAAGGCGGACUGCAAGAAGAAAAGAGAGCCCGAGCCCAAGCCAGUAUUUUCUGAUGAGCAAAAGAAGUGGGCUAAGUCAUUUUUGAGCACACCGUCCCAAGCCGCGAAGAAUCUUCCUGACGACUAUGCACGUGAACUUCGUAGGCAGGCACUCAUGUUGAAGGAGAAGAAAGAGCGGGCGGAGAACCAGGAGAACAAAGCCUUGGAGGAGGCCGAGAAAACGGAAUUAGAAAGUAAAAAAAGCGGGAAACGAGUUGCCCAGCUCGGGGAACAAAGUAAACAAUCGAUUGCCCCGCUUAUAGUGAAAGCCGCCGGUCCGGAUGACCCCGAUAUCAUAGCAGCUGCAGCAGCACAUGGAUUGACUGUAACGAGUGCCAGAGAACAAGCGGCCAACUUAGGUAUUACUCUUCGUGAACUGUUAGGCCUUGAUGAGGCGCCAGUGAAGGAGGUAGUAAUUACAUAUGUGAAGAAUGGGCCUCUCGUCGAGCCUGCGCAGGAAGAGGAUCUACCUCCACAAAUGAAAGGUCUGCUGAAAUGGUACAAGGGUUACAUAAAAAAUAAAAACGUCAAAGAAUAUAUUUAUGCGAAAGUUAGAUAUGAGCAUCACUUCAAACAUUACUAUGUACAAAUUCAUCUGAGUGAAUUGUUCCAGCUUUUCAAUCUGCGCGAGCUCGACAAAUCUAUCAUCAGUUGCUACGUUCUGUAAGUGAUUUAUUUCUACCCCAUCUCGUUCAUAUUGCCUGCACUAUAUAUAUGUCCUAACUAUAUUGUUGUGUCCGCUAUUAUACAUGCAGAAUGAAGAUUAAGGAAUGCAGAGUAAGGAACAUCCAUGAUGUUGGGUUCAUUGACCCACACAUCGUUAAUGGAUAUGUGUUGGAGCAUCACCCCGCCGACAUGGAGGCAGACCUGUGGCAGUUUCUUACAAAGCAGGAACUCAAAAGUGAUAUUCUAUUUCCUUACCAUUUUGGGUGAGUGUUUCUGUCUUGAGCACAUUCUCUUUUGUUUACUCCAUGCAUGGUAUGUGGCCGGCUAAUCGAUGAGUUAUGCAUGACGUACUGUGCAUGUAUCGUGUCCGCAGGUUCCACUGGAUUCUGCUAGUAGUUAAAGUUGACACCUCAGAAUGUCUCGUCCACGACUCUCUGAAUAAGGAUCCAAAGCUUUGGGGCGACAUGAGAAGAAUGUUGCAGAAGUAAUUAUUUUCAUUCAUUUGCGCUCUAUAUCGAUCGGCCUAUUUCGUUCAUUUCCUAAUAUCAAGUAACUAAUAACUCUCUUGUUCAUUUAAUUUUCUUUGCCUCGUAGGGUUUGGAGACGGUUCGUAGAUACAAAGGUCGGUGAAUUCAAAAAAGAGCUAGAAUUCAAAAGGUCAAAGGCUAAGAAUGGUGAGGAUAUUCAGCCAGCGGGGACCAAUCUAUGUGCAUACUAUGUCUGUGAGAUGACCCGGAGAUACACCUCUGAGCGGGUUCCGAGUGAUACCAAUGCUCAGAGAAAUAACCUCCGGAUGAUGCUUAGUCCAUAAGCUCGCUUCCGACCACUUCAAGAGGAACUAGCUGGAUGGUUCAGGAGGGAAGUCCUCCAUCCUAAAGGAGAACACCAUUACGAGGACGUAGAACUUUAUAUGCAUUAAAUUAUGUAUGGAAACUUGUUCAAAAUUGUAUAUGGUCAUCCGAUGAUAUUGAAUAUAUAUUGUAUAUUCCUCUUGAAUUCUUUUUGGUUCUAAUUUCAAAUUUGUUUGAAAUUGUACAUUCCAUGUAUGUAGUACCGUAGAAUAUGUGAAACUCCUUCAAAAUUAAAAUAAAGCACAAAAGAAAUAAAACAAUAAAAAUUAACAGAAAACAGGUUUAGGGGGGGGGGGCUAAAACCCUAAACCUGCGGCGGCCUUUAGUCGCGGUUGGCCAGAAGAACCGCGACUAAAGGUCCUCCGCCCCGACGGCCGCCUGGCGCCCAUGUGGACGGGCCUUUAGUCGCGGUUCUUAAGCAACCGCGACUAAAGGUGGGGGACUUUAGUCGCGCCUAUUUGGUCGCGGUUGCGCAACCGCGACUAAUGACAGUUGCGAACCGCGACCAAAGGCCAUUUUUCCACCAGUGGGCAUAUUCAGUAAUGACUUCAUAGUCAAUAAGCUGUCAACCAACAAAAGGUACAUGGGAAAUCAAGACACAAAAAACGCUUCCUUUUUGCGAUGGAUUUGCUUACCCGGAAUAAGUAUAUGUAGCAAAUGAACAUGCAUGCAUGUGCCUUAUUUUCGGCCUCGCCCGCUAGCUAGACUGGCCACCUACGUCCUAGGAGCUGCAACAUGGUGCCCAAGCCACCUCAGAGUAAUGAAUUUGCUAGUCUGCCAAUCUGAGUGAGUACAAUGGAAUCUAAACUCAGCGAGCAAGUUGCAUGAAUCGCUUCCAGGAACUAAUGACAUGCAUGGGCCAUGCCAACGACUUGCCAAAAACGUCAAGAUAGCUAAUUAAGCUCGUGAACAGCGUACCGGUGUCCAAAAAAGGAUGGUACAUGUAGAUACAGUACAAUAAUUUUGAUUGGGACCAGGCAAUAAUUACAUCCUCGUCGUCAGUUCCUCACAUUCGUGUACCCGUACGUUCUUUGCGUGGCCCAGCUGAUCGACCGACUCUCUACCUGUAUGCAAUGCAGGUUGUACUUCCGAUGCAUGCAUAGCCAUGAGCGCGGCUGCAGGGCGAAGAAGCAGGUGCAGCAGCAGGAUAGCAGCAUCGGCAGUCCUCCAUUGUACAAGGUCAUUUACCUGAACGAGCACACAUGCCACCAAGCGUUUCCCAACGUGAACAUCACCAAUGCAAAUGUACCCGCGACGAGCACUACGACAAGGAACGGCGCCGACUUUGAUCAUGCACGCCGCCACCUCCACGUCGGCGGGAACGGCGAGUUAGAGGACAGAAUCAUGACCUCGACCUUCAGCACGGUCAUCGGCGGAGCUGCCCCUGCUGCUCCGUCGUUGUCGCCCUUGCAGUCGCCGCCUCCCGUGGAAGCGAGCCCGAGCGAUCCGGCGUCGUACGACACGGGUGGCGGACAGUCGCCGAGCCUGCUGGACUUGAGCAUGUGCCUCGACGAGACGAUGAUGGACGAGAUGUAUUUCUCGUGCGGUUCGCCAUUUCGUCCGGUCGAGGCACCCGCAGCUCCAUGGUCGUUGUCGUCCUUGCCGCCGCCGCCGCCGCCGCCCAUAGAAGCGAGCUCGAUUGAUCCGGCGGCGUACAUGCCGUCCCGCGGUGGACACUCACUGAGCCUGGACGCGAUGACGAUGGCGGAGAUUUUUCUCUGGAGCAGCCCGCUAUUUUCUCCACGUUGACGCAGCUGCAGCGCAGCCAAUCAGCCACGGCGCCCAACGGUGUCGCCGGCCGGUUCAUGGACACAGCGUCAGCAUGGCCAGAGUACAAGCGAGCAGUGAGUGGUACAAGCAAAACAUACAGUAAUUAGUGAUUAGUCACAUGGAAGGGACGUGCAUCUCCGUGUGAAAGUUAGUCGUAAUAUGCAGUGAGUUCAGAUACAGAUCUUUGUUCAGACGCACGGCUUAAACGGCGACUCAUAGUCUGUGACUAGCUCGUAAGUAGCUAGCUAGCUAGGGUGUCCUGCUUUACUUUAGUGAUGAAAACUUUACUUUCGUGAUGAAACUUGAUGUUGAUGAAUUCAACUUGUGAGAAUUGAGCUGUAUGCCUGUAGCUAGCAUGCAGUUUGGGUCCACCGCCUGUGUCCACAUCGUGGGAUUUCGAGGAACAUUCGCCAUAGUUCGGUACUGUUUAAUGUUGAUACAGUUCGAUACUGUUGAUUAUAAGUUUGGUUAUAGUAUAUUCUAGUUGUGUGCGUCAUUUUCAAUUUUUUCGACAACGGAAUAUAUUAAUACCAAAAUGAUGUCAAUUACACCCGGCCUCUUCAAUAAUAUAAUAUUCAAAGCAAGUCUAGACAUCACGGGUGCACACAACCAAAAUAUAAAAGAAGAAAAAGGAAAACAAAGGUCCCGUCGAAAGAAAGAGAGGCUUGCAGCAGCAAGAGCACCACCAAUGGUGGCAACACCUAGACUCCGAAAAAGAUUCUUAAAAAACGACACCUUCGAAAGAGAGAUGCUACACUUACGUAACGAUUGUUACGUAUCUUACGUAGGAUCCGACGUGGUAGUUUUCUAUUGGGCCUUAUUUGGGGACACGGGCCCACCCAGAAAUUCAGGGGGCGGUUUAGUUAGGGUGAAGUGGAUUACGUAAGGUUUCGUAAAUCAUCACAUAGGUGUAGCAUUAUUGCCCUUAGAAAGGUUAUAGCGCACAAACACCAUCGUCGUUCGGUCUAACCAUCAUAGUCAGAUCCUGUGUUUUCAUCCCGGAGAAUGUCAAAUUUCCAAACAAUGCAUUCCACAAGGAAAUGACUAGGAAGCCGCCAUUGCCAGGUAAAAGACCUAGGGUUUUCACCUCGGAAACUGAGACCGCCAAGAACGAAGUCUGCCAGUGUCACCGCCACAUUCGUCGAGAUUACUGCUGCAAAACUCCAAUCGUCUCACAUGCAAACUUCUUCCGAAAUCUCCCAUUAAGUCUUCUUGUUACAUCACCGCCAUUACCAAGAAGUCUCACACAGUAUAAGUGUGUAGAAACUCUGGCCUUCGACCCAUCUUGAAAUACCCACCUCCGUUAAUCCUUGGCAGAUGAGGUGGGUAAUGCGAUGUGGUGGCGCAGCUGCUUGUACCUCGUCACGUUGAUCCGUGCGCAACGCCGAAGAUCUCGGGUAAUGGCCAGACAACGGUACUAGACAAGGAACAUCAGGGGGCAGCCAUGGAUGGCAUCACGCCCCUCGCCUCACUGUGUACGACCGGAGCUGGAGGGGAGCACGCCUCGCUAGAUUGUGACCGAACGCCGUUGUGCACGUCGUGAUCGGUGCCACGAUCUUGGCCAUGUUGUCUCGGCAGAUCAAAUCAGAUCAACAACGAAUGUAGGGAUAUGAGAAUGAGCAAGGGCGAGAGAAAAAAGGAAGGAAAAACUAAGGACGACCUCCUCGGGCGGCAGCAAGGGUAGGGAAGGAGGUGAGGGAGGGGCCACCAGCGGGUGGAGAUUAGGUUCCCUCGUGUCGCCCGAUUGAGGACGAUGCGGGGUACGUGUUGGGGAAUGUAGCAGAAUUUUAAAACCUUUGUGAGAUACGUUAGUAUAACAAAGCAAAUCGCUACUCUAAGUACUGUUGGAAACUCAUUCAUAUUUUUUUGUUGCAUUAUAUCUACUGUAUUCCAACUUUGCUAUAGCUUAUACCCUCUAAUACAAACCAUAGAUUCAUCGAAAUAAGCACACAACGUAAAGAAAAUAGAAUUUGCGAAAAACAAAAUAGUCUUUAGUAAUCUGAAAACUUCGAAUACUUCUGUAACUCCAAAAAUUCUAGAAAAUUAGUACAACGCGGGAAAUUUGUAUAAAAAUCUUGUGUACAAAAAAUCAAGAUUUUAUCGCGCUCCUGUUAAAAACUAAAUUUAUUUUUCUGGACGCAAAAGUUUCUGUUUUCCAACAAGAUCAAAUCAACUCUCACCCAACAUGAUCCCAGAGGCUUUGCUUGGCACAAAUACUAAUUAAAACAUGAAAAACAUAAUCAUAACAGUAGCAUAAUUGUGCAAACACUCAAGAACAAAAAGCAAAAAAAUAAAAAAAUGUAUUCAUUGCGUUGCCUCCCAACAAGCGCCAUCGUUUUAUGUCCCUAGUCAGGCAUAAUGCAAAGAUCUAAGUAUUGUCAUCUUUAUUUCUAGAUCCAUAGGAUGCCCUCAUGAUUGAUUCAUAUGGUGGCUUAAUUAUUGUUCUAGUGAAGUGUUCCAUACCCUUCCUUAGUGGUAAUUGAAAUUUAAUAUUACCUUCUUUCAUAUCAAUCACGAUUGUCGGUGUUCUGGGAACGGGGGUCCCCAGACUUGCCUGCCUGCAGCCCGCAGCAUGGCUCCUCCAGCGGCCCUAUACGGCCCAUCUUCACUAACAAACAUUCAAGACCCUCGCGAGGGGCCAAGCCUCGCGAGGCGGACGACGCAAGACCUCCUCAGGGGCGGCCUCACCGGGCUGGCUCGCGAGGGGCGGAGAAAUCAAGGCAAGGCGAACCUCGCGAGGUUCCAAUGAUGCAAGCCUUGACUAGGGCUGGAAAAAAAGCUCGAAGCUUGUGAGCUAAACGAGUAGCUCGUGACUCGGCUCGAAUCGACUUGAACUCAAAGAAUAAUGAGUCGAGCCAAGCUUUAGUUUAAGAUCAUUUAUAGACCAGGUUAAACGAGCCAAUCUCACGAGUACUCGUGUAACUCGUUAGGCUCGGCACAAUAGAUCAGCCACUCCCAAUACAAAAAGAUAUUAGCCACUCAGCACGCUAUGUCCCAGGCGCACAACACAUGGCCUAGCCAUUAAAGGCCUAGCCUCCUAGCAGACUCAUGCGUUACAAGGAAAUUACUAUUGUUUUCUGAUAUAUAAUAUUUGAGGGUUUUAUGUUCAUAUAUUUAACGAGCCUAACAAGCUAAAUGAGCUAGCUCGCAAGUUAUAUGAUUCGAGCCAAUCUUGGAUUUGAGCUCGUUAUAAUAAUGAGUCAAGUCGAGCUAGCUCGUUAAAGAAACGAGCUCUAGCGAGUCGAGAUGAGCUGGCUCGACUCGACUCGAAUUCCAGCCCUAGCCAUGACGAUCAAGACUAGGCGGGGCCAGGCGGGCGCCAGCGUGCACAGUGUCCUCGUUUCCUCUUUGCUGUUAAGGAGGCAAACGCAGGCGAGGAGUUCCAAGGCAUCAGGAAAAGGUUUCCAUAUCAGUGCAACAAGACCAAGACUAGCAGGACGGCAGGACGGAGGUCACCGUGGAGCCCAAGACGGCGUCACCACCAGAGCCUUUGGUAGGCAAAGACUACUUUUGUCAAGAUAGCUUGUACUAGUUGUCCCCCUUCAAAUUGGCUGUUGUGGGAUCCCUUCCCGCUCAAUAUUUGGUAAGAGGACCAGGGCUUCUAUAAAUAGGACUAGCCACCACCAUAGCUAGGGGGCGGAUCGAUCGGAUCUUGGAUCGGAGCCAUUCCAUCCUUAGCCUCACACAAGUUCAUCGAGCACAAGAACACCUCUCCUCAGGAGGCUGUUCUUCCCCCGUAACUGUUUAUCCUCAGCCCAAGAGGCAAUCCACCACAUCACACCAGAGUAGGGUAUUACACCACAACGGUGGCCCGAACUGGUAUAAAUCUUGUGUCUCAUUUUCUUUGGGUCCGUCAAGCUAGGCCGUGAGAUUGUUGAGUGUGCGAGCUAGAGAGGGGGAGAUCUUCAUGCACACCCUAGUGUUUGGACAUCAAGGGUUUUGCCGGAACCCGAAAUCCGACAAUGGCACCAAUAGUAUGUAAAAAUGGUCUACCUAGUAUAAUUGGACAAGACGGCUUGCAAUCGAUAUCAAGAACGAAAAAAUAUAUGGGCAAAUAAUUCCUAUUUGCAAGAAUAAGAACAUAAUUAAUUCUUCCCAAAGGCUUUUUAACAGUAGAAUCUGCCAAGUGCAAGUUUAAAGAACAUUCUUCAAUAUCGGUAAGACCAAGCACAUCACAUAAAGAUUUCAGAAUUGUAGAAACACUAGCACCCAAGUCGCAUAAAGCAAUACACUCAUAAUUUUUAAUCUUUACUUUGAUAGUAGGUUCCCAUUCAUCAUGUAAUUUUCUAGGAAUUGAAAUCUCUAAUUCCAACUUUUCUUCCAAAGCUUUCAUCAUAGCAUCAACGAUAUGUUUAGUAAAAGCUUUAUUUUGUUCAUAAGCAUGUGGUGAAUUAAUCAUGGAUUGCAAAUAAGAAAUACAAUCAAUCAAAGAGAAAUUAUCAUAAUUAAAGUCUUUGUAAUCCAAAAGAAUGGGCACAUCACUAGUUAAAGUUCUGACCUCUCCAACCCACUUUUAUCAAUUUUCUCAACAAGAUUUUCACCCUCCAAAUUAUUGGGAUGCCUUCUAACUAAAGUUGACUCUUCUUCAGUCCCUUUUUCAUCACUUCUAAUUUUACUAAACAAGGAAUCAAUUGAAUAAACACCAAUCAUUUUAAGAUCUUUAUCAUUUUUAUGAAACCAAUCACUAGAAAACGCCUUUUCAAAAAAUUCUCUUUUAGCUCUAAGUAUAGCGGUUCUUUUCUUACUUUCAUCCACAGAAACAUAUAAAGCUUCAAUUGAUUCCUCAACCUUAGGCACAAAAAUAUUCAUCUUGAGAUUUUCUACAUCAUGAGAAAUUCUAUCAAUACUUCUAGACAUAUCAUCAAUCUUAAUCAACUUUUCUUCUAUAGGAUUAUUUAAAUUCUUUUGAGCAUUGAUAAAUUCUUUAAUAUUAUUCUCAAGAUCAGAGAUGUUCCUAUUAUUAUUAUAAGAAGGAUUACCAUAGGAAUUACCAACAUUAUUAGAGGAAUUUCCGGAAAAGGUCUAGGAUUAAAAUUACCUCUAUAAGCAUUGUUAUUAAAAUUGUUUCGCAAAACAAAAUUGACAUCUACAAAAUCACUAUUUUGCUCAAUCAAAGUAGACAAAGGAACAUCAUUAAGAUCAAUAGGAGCAUGUUUAUUAGAAACCAACUUCAUAAGAGCAUCAACUUUUUCACUUAAAUAAUUUAUUUCUUCUACCGAAUUAACCUUUUUACUAGUAGGAGCUCUUUCGGUAUACCAUUGUGAAUAAUUUGCCAUAAUAUUAUCAAGCAAUUUAUGAGCUUCACCCAAAGUAAUUUCCAUACAAGUACCACCCAUGGUGGAAUCUAAAAGAUUUCUAGAAACAAAAUUCAAUCCCGCAUAAAAAUUCUAUAUGACCAUCCAAAGAUUUAAACCAUGAGUAGGACAAUUUCUUAGCAUCAAUUUAAUUCUUUCCCAAGAUUGCGCAACAUGUUCAUGGUUAAGUUUAAAAUUCAUAAUUUGUGUCCUAAGGGAAAAAAAUUCGCGGGCGUAAAAUACUUAGUAAUAAAAGCAUCUUUGCACUUAUCCCAAGAAUCGAUACUAUUGCGAGGCAAAGAAGAAAACCAAAUAUUUGCAUGACCUCACAAGGAAAACGGGAAUAAUUUCAACUUCACAAUAUCAUUGUCCACAUAUUUUUCAUUUGCAUAUCGCAUACUUCCAUGAAUGUGUUAAGAUGGGACGUGGCAUCCUCAUUAGGUGUACCGCAAAAUUGAUCUUUAAUGACAAUAUUCAACAAAGCGACACUAAUAUCACAAGACUCCGCACUAGUGGCGGGAGGAGCAAUCAGAGUGCUAAUAAAAUCAUUGUUGUUGGUAUUGGAGAAAUCACAUAACUACACAACAAGAUUGCACUCAAAAACGGAUCUGACGAGAAAACGACGAAUGAAAAAGCGAAUAAAACGACAAAUUUUUGUGCAGCGGGGGAGAUGAAAACGAGAGGCAAAUGGCAAAUAAUGUAAAUUGCAAGGAGAUGAGGUUUGUGAUUAGGAACCUAAUAGAUGUUGAUGAUGUCUCCCCGGCAACAGCGCCAGAAAUUCCUUUUGAUUCGGCUUGAACUAUGUCGGCCCAAAGAGGAAGGGAUGACGCAACACAUCUACGGUAGGUAUUUCCCUUAGUGAUGAGACCAAGGUUAUCGAACCAGUAGGAGAACCACACAACACUACUUGAACAUCACCUGCACACAAAGAACAAAUACUUGCAACCCGACGUAAAAGAGGGGUUGUCAAUCCCUCCCGGGUAAAAGAUAGGUAAAAUUGUAGUAGAUUGGAUAAAUAGAUCUCGCAGGAACGUGAGAUAAAAUAAAUAAUAAUAAAUUGCAGCAAGGUAUUUUUUGGUUUUUGGAUUAAUAGAUCUGAAAAAUAAAAGCAAGUAAAAGUAGAUCUUGAAGGCAAAUAUGAUAAAGAAGAGACCCGGGGACCGUAGAUUUCACUAGUGGCUUCUCUCGAGAAAAAUAUAAUACGGUGGGUAAACAAACAACUGUUGGGAAAUUAACAGAAUUUCAAAUAAUCAUGACGAUAUCCAGGCAAUGAUCAUUAUAUAGGCAUCAUGUCCAAGAUUAGUAGACCGACUCCUGCACGCAUCUACUACUAUUACUCCACACAUCGACCGCUAUCCAGCAUGCAUCUAGUGUAUUAAGUUCAUGGAGAAACAGAGUAAUGCUAUAAGAACGAUGACAUGAUGUAGAAAAUAUCUACUCAUGUAGGAAUAGACCCCAUCUUGUUAUCCUUAAUAGCAACGAUACAUAUGUGUCGUUUCCCCGUCUAUCACUGGGAUCGAGCACCAUAAGAUCGAACCCAUCACAAAGCACCUCUUCCCAUGGCAAGAAAAAUCGAUCUAGUCGGCCUAACUAAACCAAAGAUUUGAAGAAGAAAUACGAGGCUAUAGUAAUCAUGCAUAUAAGAGAUCAAAAGACUCAAAUAACUUUCAUGGAUAAAAACAUAGAUCUGAUCAUAAACUCAAAGUUCAUCAGAUCACAACAAACACACCGCAAAAAGAGUUACAUCAAAUAGAUCUCCAAGAGACCAUUUUAUUGAGAAUCAAAAGAGAGAGAGAGGAAGCCACCUAGCUACUAACUACGGACCCGUUGGUCUACAAUGAACUACUCACGCAUCAUCGGAGAGGCACCAAUGAGGAUGAUGAACCCCUCCGUGAUGGUGUCUAGAUUGGAUAUGUGAUUUCUGGAACUUGCGGCGGCUAGAAUUGUUUUUCAUCGACUCCCCUUGGGUUUCUGGAAGGGGUAUUUAUAGAGCAAAGAGGCGGUGCGGGAGGCCAGUGAGGUUGGAACAACCCACUAGGGCGCGCCUGGGCCCCCAGGCGCGCCCAGGUGGGUUGUGCACCCCUUGUGGCACCCCUCUGGUACUUCUUUUGCCCGUUGUGUGUCUUCUGGCCUAGAAAAAUUCUCCAAAAAGUUUCCUUGUGUUUGGACUCCGUUUGGUAUUGAUUUUCUGCGAAGUAAAAAACAACAAUUAGCCCUGGGCACUAUGUCAAUAAGGUUUUUUUUGACCUUGAAGACUGCAGGGCUUACACCCCACAAGAUUUUAUUAAAACUCACCAGGAAAGAAACUAUGUCAAUAAGUUAGUCCCAAAAAUGAUACAAAGUUGCUAUCAAAUGAUUGUAAAACAUCCAAGAAUGAUAAAAUAACAACAUGGAACAAUAAAAAAUUAUAGGUACGUUGGAGAUGUAUCAACGUAUUCCCCCAAUCUUAGGCUUUUAACCUAAGUUGGUCUAUGGCGCCUGGUAGCCUGGAUAAUACCCGUAGUCAUAGUUCGGGUUGUACUGAAGUGGAACUGCCACAACUUGACAUGUUGCCUCAUUAAGAUGGGCGGUCUCCACCGCCCUCUCAUACUCCUCGGCCUCAUCCUCAAGUACGUAAUGUCUAUAUUUUUCCUGAAAGUUAAAGAAGGACGAAGCAGGAAAAGUAAUAUGGAAAACACGACUUCGGUUAAAGAUUAGCCUGUAGAGGAGCGGAGGGUCAUUCCUCUCAAGGAACUGGUGGCGUUCCAUAGCAUCAUAAUCAAGAAAAUUAGUUGGUGACAUGAUAUCAUUUUCUCUAAUGGGUACGCCAAGAUGAGCAGUUAAACGAGUGACAUAGAUUCCACCAAAGAAAUCACCCACUAAGGCAUUAUUAUGUAAACAAGGUGCAAUAAUGGCUCCAAUGUUAAAUUGUCAAUCUCUCAACAUCGCAUUCCUAAGAAUGCUCAAAUCAGGGGCACAAAGAUGACUAGGAUCUUGUUUACCAUUAACGCAUCUUCCUAUGAACAGUGCAAAAUAAUGUAUAGCAGGAAAAUGGAUGCUUCCUAUAGUAGCUUGUGUUAUGCAUGUAGUUUCACCCCUAGCGAUAUUCAGCCAGAAUUCAUUGCAAUCAGAUUUACGAGGCUCAGUACAUAUCCCCCAAAAGGGAAUUUUACAAGCAUCACAAAAUUCUUCGAUGUCAAUGUGAAAAGGAUUUUCAUAUAAGUUGAGGAUACUCCCUCCGUUCCUUUUUAGUGUGCAUAUAAGAUUUGGUCAAAGUAAAAACUUUGUCCACUUUGACUAAGUUUAUAGAAAAAAAAUAUAAAAUUCACAAUAUGAACUUGUUAGAUGCAUCAUGAAAUUAAUUUUCAUACCAUAUGACUUUAGUAUUGUAGAUGUUGAUAUUUUUUCCAACAAAGUUGGUCAAACUUUACAAAGUUUGACUUUGGCCAAAUCUUAUAUGCAGACUAAAAAGAAACGGAGGGAGUAACAACAUGUGGAUUUCGAUGGGACGCGUACUCAAAUUUCAGCACAAAAACCAAUGAGAUUAUAGUAUUGCAAGCACUUAUCUGACAUGAAGUUCGUCAGCCCGGCAUUGUGCACGUACAUGUCAAACUCCUCCAUAAUACCAGCUCGAGUCAUGAACGGAUCCAUUGACCAUUCACACGGGUGAACAAGAACUGCCCGUGGCAGUUCAAGGUCCGUCUCACGUAUAGCGAACCUUGGAGAGCUCUUGCUCUAGGAACCACCUUGGAACAUUUUCCUAAGCAUCUUCUUCUGAAAAGUUUCUGAAUUUUUUAGUGACUCAAAAUAAAAGUGGGCCAAACACAACAAAAUUGAUAGCAACUACUCCCAUAAGUGUCUAGAGGCUAUAUAAUGCACCGAAACUACUUUGGACCAUCUAAAUUCAACAUGCAAGCUCAAGAACAUGUUCACCACAACAGCAAAAAAUUGCAAUAUAUAAAGCACUAGAACAAAAACUAAUUGGAUCAUUAUAUUGGACGAGUCACAUACGAAAGAAUAAUCUCCCAAAAUAGUUUUGGAAACAGAGUUCCGAGCAAGGAGAUUGAAAAUUGUAGUCAAACGAGCAAGAACACGGGUUUGAACAAGCUAGUGAUUUUUUCUGGAGGAAGAAGAAGGGAAAGGGCUGCUGGGAUAAAUGAGUGGGUCCCCGUGGGACCCACAAGCCCAGUAGGCGCGCCCUGUUGGGUGGCGCGCCCUAUGAGCUUGUGGCUCACAGGUGCACCCCCUUGGGGUGUGUUCAGUGCUAAAAAUUCUUAAAUAUUCUACAAAAAAUCAUACUAAAUUUUCAGGGCAUUCUGAGAACUUUUAUUUUCGGGACAUUUUUUAUUGCACGGAAAAUUCAGAAAACAGGAUAAUCAUGUCAUUUCUACUUUAUUAACUUUAAAUAAUGGAGAGUAAAUAGUGAGUGCAGUAGGUUGUGCUUACUAAAUUCAUCGACCACAUGCCCCUAAAAGAGAAUCCAUUAAUAAUGUUGAUCAAGUCUUAUUAACAAACCAUUUUUGAAUGGCAUGAAACCGAAGAAUCUUCGUAUAACACUAGGUUACCUCAAUGGGGAUAUGCAUCUCCCCAACAAUAAGAGUUUCAUAUUUCUUUUUGACUGAAGGAAGAGGGAACUGAAAACCUCCAAUAAUAAUUGUCGAAACUUUUUCAAUAAUAUUGAUACCAUUCACUUGGAAUUGUUGCUUCGGAAUAUGCUCAUUACUAGAAAAGUGACCUUGCUUUUGUUGCGAUCAAUAACAGCCCCUGCAAUAUUCAAAAGUGUCUACCAAGGAUAAUCGACAUGUUGUCGUCCUCGGACAUAUCAAGUAUGACAAAGUCUGUAAGGAUAGUAACAUUUGCAACUACAACAUGCACAUCCUCACAAAUUACAAUAGGUAUAGCAGUAGAUUUAUCAUCCAUUUGCAAAGAUAUUUUAGUAGGCAUGAGCUUAUUCAAAUCAAGUCUUCUAUAUAAAGAAAAAGGCAUGUCACUAAAACUAGCUCCUAAAUCAAAUAAAGCAGUUUUGACAUUAUUUCGUUUAAUGGAGCAUAGUGCAGUGGGUAUUCCUGGAUCUCCUAGUUUCUUAGGUACUCCAUCCUUAAAAGAAUAAUUUGCAAGCAUGGUGGAAAUUUCAACUUCAGGUAUCUUUAUUUUAUUAGUGAUAAUAUCCUUCAUGUAUUUAGCAUAUGGAGGCAUUUUCAAUAUAUCAAUCGAACGAGUACACAAGAAAACAAGUCUAAGUAUUUCAACAAAAUGUUCAAAUUGUUCCUCAUUCUUGUUCCUAGGUGGUUUAGUUGGGAAUGGCAUGGGUUUAUGAACCCAUGGCUCUCUUUCCCGACCAUGUUUUAUAGCAAGGAAAUCACUUUCAUCAUAUGUUAUGUUCUUAGGAGGUGGCUUAUCAAGAUCAACAACAGAUUCUAUUUCUACAUCAUAAUCUGGCUACGCAUCUACAUGAGCAUCAUUAUCAUUAUCACUAGAUGUAUGUUCAUCACCAGAUUAUUUCUCAACAUCAGAAAUAGAAACAUCAUUACUAUUCUCAAAAGGUUUUUCUACCGCAGCUUCACUAGAAGCAUGCAAAGUCAUAUCGUUUUUUCUUUUUCUUCUUGGAUAGACUAGGUGUAUCAACAUUAAUUCUCUGAGAAUCUUGCUCAAUUCUUUUAGGGCAACCUUUAGGAUAAAGUGGCUCUUGACUCAUUUUACCUCCUCUAGUCAUAACCCUAACAACAUGAUCAUUCAUAUUAUUCUUCAUCUCAUUAAGCAAAUCAUGUUGUGACUUAGCAACUUGUUCUAACUGAGUUUGAACCAUGGAAGCAUGUUUACCCAUACCUUUAACAUCAUUAGCAAUUCUAAAAUCAAGUCACUCAAAUGAUCAAUCAUGAAAGCAUUGAAAUGUUCUUGCUUAACAAUGUAAUUAUCAAAUUCAUCCAAGCAUUGACUAGCAGAUUUAUUAUAAGGAAUAUCACCUUCAUCAAAUCCAAUAAGUCAAUUUACCUCUACUACCUGUGUCGGGGUGUCAAUACCAUGUAUCUCUUCAAUAUGCUGUAAAUUCUUAACAUUUUCAGCUUUAAUACCUUUUUCUUUCAUAGAUUUCUUUGCCUCUUGCAUAUCUUCAGGAUUGAGGAAUAGAAUACCUCUCUUCUUUGGUGUUGGUUUAGGUAGUGGUUCAGGAAGGGUCCAAUCAUUAUCAUUUCUCAAUACAUUAUUCAAUAGUUCUUCGGCCUGUUCAAUAGUUCUUUCCCUAAAAACACAACCAACGCAACUAUCUAGGUAUUCCGUAGAAGCAUCAUUUAGUCCAUUAUAAAAGAUAUCAAGAAUUUCAUUUUUCUUAAGAGGAUGAUCAGGCAAAGCAUUAAGUAAUUGGAGAAGCAUCUCCCAAACUUGAGGGAGAUUCUCUUCUUCAAUUUUCACAAAGUUAAAUAUUUUCUGUAAGGCAGCUUGUUUCUUAUAAGCAGGAAAAUAUUCUCCAAAGAAGUAAUAUAUCAUAUCCUGGGGACUACACACAACCAGGAUCAAGAGUAUAAAACCCUAUCUUAGCAUCACCCAAGGAAACAACUAAAGAAUAUAGUAGUAGCGGAUCUUUUCCUCAGGAGCAAAUAGGGUGGCUAUAUCAUUUAAUUUAGUAAGGUGUGCCACAACAGUUUCAGUUUCAUAAUCAUGAAAAUGGUUAGAUUCAACCAAAGUAAUUAACUCAGGAUCGAUAGAGAAUUCAUAAUCCUAAUCAGUGACAAAGAUAGGAGAAUUAGCAAACUUGGGAUCAUAUUUCAUUCUUGCAUUCAAAGAUUUUUCUUUUAGCUUACAUAGUAGUUUCUUAACAUAAUCUCUAUCAUUACAAGCAAGAAAUUCCCUAGCUAUCUCUCCAUCCAUAACAUAACCCCCGGGUAUCUUAGGAAACUCAAUUCUAGGAGAGCUAGAUCUAAUAGGUGUAUCACAUUUUUCAGUAGUUUCAGCAAUUUCAUCAAUUUAACAUUCUCAAUUUCUUUAGCUCUAGCAAAUUGUUCAUCAAGAAAUUCACCUAGUAGCAUAGUUUCACUAAGUACUAGCAUCAUCAGUAGCAUCAUUCAUAUAGAAGUAGCAUCAUCAAUUAGUUGCGACAUUUCAGAAUUAAUAGCAAGUGGUGGUGUUGCAAGCCUACUCAAAACAGAAUGUGAAACAAGUGCAUAGUGUGAUGGCAGUUCCUUACCUCCCCUCAUCUUAGAGGGAACGAUCUUAGUUCUAUCAUCUUUAAGAUUCUUCAUAGUGAUCAACAUAUAUAACUCCCAAGUGACUCAGCAAAUUGAGCUAUGCUCCCCGGCAACGGCGCUGCAAAAAGGUCUUGAUAAUCCACAAGUAUAGGGGAUCACAACAGUUUUCAAGGGUGUAGUAUUCAACCCAAAUUUAUUAAUUCGACACAAGGGGAAGCAAAGAACGUUUGCAAGUAUUGGCAGUUAAGUUGUCAAUUGAACCACACCUGGAGAACUAAAUAUCUACGGCAAAGUGAUCGGUAGAACAGUUGUAUGAUAGUUUGAUAGCAGCGGUAACAAUAGCAAUAGUAACAAUAGUAGUAGCAAUAGCAGUUUUAUAGUGACUAUAACAACAGUAGCAACGAAACUAACUUAGCAAAGAUCAAUAUGUGAAAGUCGUAGGCAUUGGAUCAGUGAUGGAUAAUUUUGUUGGAUGACAUUCAUCAUGUACUAGUUAUAACCUAGGGCGACACAGAACUAGCUCCAAUUCAUCAAUGUAAUUUAGGAAUGUAUUCUGUAUAUAGUCAUAUAUGCUUGUAAUAAGAACUUGCAUGUCAUCCUUUGUCCUACCCUCCAGUGGCAGCGGGGUCCAUAAGGAAACUAAGGGAUAUUAAGACCUCCUUUUAAUAGAGAAUCGGAACAAAGCAUUAGCGCUUAGUGAAUACAUGAACUCAAACUACGGUAAUCACAGGAAAGCAUUAGCAUGGAGUUGAAGUUAGGGUUGCGGGAGCUUCCACAUGCCCACAAGCCUACCAGGCGCGCUAGGGGGUGGCGCUCCCCAGGGCUUGUGGCGUCCUGGUGGGCCCCCUCUGGUAUUUCUCUUCGCCAGUAUUUUUUAUAUAUUCUAAAAGAAUUCUCCAUAAAGUUUCAGCUCAAUCCGAGAACUUUUAUUUCUGCACAAAAACAGCACCAUGGCAAUUCUACUGAAAACAACGCCAGUCUGGGUUAGUUCCAUUCAAAUAAUAUAAAUUAGAGUCCAAACCAAGAGCAAGUGUAUGGAAAAGUAGAUAUAACAGAGACAUAUCAGUAGGCUGUCCACCUAGUUGCAUAUCUAGCCAACCUAUUUUAUUGUUGAGCCUAACAUUUGCAAACAAAGUUAAAAACUGUUAGUCACCUAUUCAAACCCCUUCUAGUCGACCAUACCAAUCCUUUCAAAUGGCCUAUGGUGUGUUCGGACUUUUAAUGUUACGUGGUGCUUUGGGCCGGUUAACGUUACAUGGUUAUGUUGGCCCAGUUGUGCCCCACUAUUUUCUCGAACCGUUAGUGGACUGUUCGAGAUAAAUGAUACAUCACAACAAAUGAAAUUACACAUACAAAAUAAAUUAAAUAACAACAAAAGUCCAGUUGGCAUAAAAUUUGAUAGCACGAGCAGAUAAAUGUACCACAAGAAGCUCAAAAGCACAAAUCAUUUGACCUUAUUGGUAGGGUUUCAUGCUAUAGAAAUCUGGUGGAGCACCAUAUUCUUUGUCUUGUUUUCCUAUGUGAUAUUGAACAACAAAGAAACUAUCUAAUAAUCUAGUUUGAAAAUCACACGUAUCUUGUUUAAAAUGGUUUAUCCUUAUGUGAUCUUUUUUCAAAUGGUCUUAGUUAGGGAUUGAACUUGUGGAGCAUAUAUAUAUAUAUUUUCAAAGCUCAAAAUCACACGUAUCUGGAGCAUAUAUAUAUAUAUAUAUAUAUCAUUUUGUCGAGGUUGAAGAUCUUGUUCAUGAGGUGGCUUCGACAAGGUUACCUUAACAACCAACCCCGUAUGGCGCAGGAAGGUGCUUUUGGCACUGUUAUAUUUGGGUUUAUUAAUUUUAGACUUUGGAUAAAUCCACCCAAUCCUAGUGGGAUUGGCACCUAAAUUUUGGAUGGGAGGAGUGACAUCAGCAUCGCCGUGAACGGUGUACUAUCAACCGUAGUGAUAGAUACACCACCGAGGUCAAAAUGCCAUUUUUGCUUCCAUGUCUUGAUCAACCUGAACUUGUAGAUAAUUCCAUGUUCGUCUAUUUUAUUAGCUAAAUCCCAAGAGCUAAAUAUCUUUUCAACUUUCGAUAGUACAUCACCUAGCUCUGAGGUCCUAGCAACCUCCUUCUCCACGAGGUUCUUUUACCAAUUCAAAGGAUUGAGAUGGACCUAGAGGGGGUGAAUAGGUACAAUUACAAAUUUUAAUAACUACUUAGCAAUUUUAGGCUAUAUGCGGAAUAUGAAAGUGAGCCCAAUAAUUGUAAAGGUGACUCUAGUGUUAGGAAUAUAACGAACAACAAAAAUAUGAUAAACAAGUAGAGGACAAGGAGACAAAGUAACCACAAGUAAGGAACUAGGGUUAGGGAUAACCGAAAUUCCAAAGACAAGGAUGUAUCCCGAUGUUCACUUCCUUGGAGGGAAACUAGUCACCGUUGGACAGAUGGGUGUUACCAUGAAGGCUCACCCAAUUCUCCUUAAGAUAUCACAAUGAAUGUGAUUCUCAAGCACUAGUGGUAGACCUUGAGGCAGACUCCAAGCCUUCACAAAAUUUUCGGUGUGAAUCAAAAUAACCGACUCCUCACCGGAGCACUCCCACCGCCUAGGAGUCCCAAACCUCCAAGAAUAACAAGAUCAAAGGGAAAAUCUCAAAACUAACUCAAAUCAUGAAUUCCUUUGGUCAAGAGUUGGGGAAGAUUUGGUGCAAGUGACAAUGAGAGGGAGCACUUGUGUGUUCUAGGGUUUAUUCAAAAUGAGUGGUCAACCCUCUACUAAAGUGUUAGAGGGGUAUAUAUAGUGGAGGCCUAGAAUUAUGCAUUUGAUAGUAAGUGACAGUGUCGAGGAUGUCCGGAUAUAAGUCCGGUUGUCUGCCCCCUCAAUUUGUGUACACAUAGGCUAUAGAGUAUUUUCUCAGGUAGAGGGCACAGACCCAUACAUCCGGGCAUGAAACUGGGUAUCCAGCAAUAGCCGCACAAGCUACUAGAAGUUUGCCAGAUUUAUAGCCAAGGGCUGGGACAUCCGGCAACCUAGUGAGACCCCAAACAUCCGACCAAGAGCUCGGACAUCCGGCAAAGUAGCGAAAGCCGAGACAUUUGGUUGAGGGCCCGGACAUCCGAUGAUGUUAACAGAAGCUACUGAUUUCUGGUCGGAGUUUUGGCCAGAGGUCCGGACAUCCGGCCAUAUAUACUUGUGCAUCCUUUUCGCAUAAGUCACGUGGGUAUUCAGUAGGGUAUAUGGCCUUGGAUAUUUUUGGUAUGGAUAUGGAUUGGUCCAAGUUAGAAACUUGUGAAUUUUAGAAAUUCCUUUACGAACCCCAUUGAUCCCCUCUUAAUAGUGGAUGAUCCCUCAAGAGCGAAACGAGAAAAGCUACGCUUUAAUAUUGUUGAUCUCCUUUCUUGAGCUAUAUUCAUUUCAAUGGGUCCAUGAUCCACACACAGUAGUCACAUGGGGACUAAAACUUGUGAUACACUUAGCAAACAUAAUUAGUCCCUUAAUAUGUAUUGUCAUCAACAUCAAAAUAUGGUUUGAGGGUAUGGUUGUACUUUUAACUACUCGCACAUGAUAAUCAGAGCAACAAAGUUGAGGUAGAUAACUUUGACAACAAUUUCCCCCUUCUGGCGGACUACAAGAGGACUCCAGAUUAGAUCGUCUUUGUACUACUACGAAUACAUAGUUCAGUGGAUGUAUUACUCGCACCUCAUCAUGGGAGUAGCGAUUGAUGUAGAAGAAGAGGGCAAUAGAACUUCGCUUUGGCAGAGUGUCGGAAUGUGAAUUAGAGAUGAGUUCUGCCUCGGAUCACGAACUUGUGACGACGGAAAAAAUUACAUAAUAAGUAUGUUGCGACUCGUGAGGUAUAUAUAAGCGCCGAGGCAAAGGUAGGAAACGAGGGGGCCUCUUGUGACAUUUCGGCUUAAUAGGAAUGGUAACUGAGGGAGUCCUGGAUUAGGGGGUGUUCGGGUAGCCGGACUAUACCUUCAGCCGGACUCCAGGACUAUGAAGAUACAAGAUUGAACACUUCGUCCCGUGUCCGGAUGGGACUUUCCUUGGCAUGGAAGGCAAGCUUGGCGAUGCGGAUAUUCAAGAUCUCCUACCAUUGUAACCGACUUUGUGUAACCCUAACCCUCUCCGGUGUCUAUGUAAACCGGAGGGUUUUAGUCCGUAGGACAACUUCAUCAUACAACAAUCAUACCAUAGGCUAGCUUCUAGGGUUUAGCCUCCUUGAUCUCGUGGUAGAUCUACUCUUGUACUACCCAUAUCAUCAAUAUUAAUCAAGCAGGACGUAGGGUUUUACCUCCAUCAAGAGGGCCCGAACCUGGGUAAAACAUCGUGUUCCUUGCCUCCUGUUACCAUCCGGCCUAGACGCAUAGUUCGGGACCCCCUACCCGAGAUCCGCCGGUUUUGACACCGACAUUGGUGCUUUCAUUGAGAGUUCCUCUGUGCCGUCGCAAUCUGGAAGGAUGCCUCUUCCCGUCUUUAAAGACGGCGCCAUUACUAAGGGAGCCUUGGCUGUCGGCCAAACUCUCCGGCUAGGCGGUUUUCUCAUGACCGCCUGUUCGGCCGUUGCGCCGACGAUGACCUCUUGGGUCAUCAAAAGCAAUCUUCACAUCAGCUCGGAACUCGUCGAGCAGUUAGAUCCAAUGGAGCUCUCUUCCGUAAACGAGCUCUUGGAUCGCAUCGCUGCUUUGGGGGUCACUACGGAUUAUGACCAGGUUGGGCUUAAACCCGAUCUAAGAGAAAUUAAUUCUCCCCAAGUCACCCAUCACGUUGCCGUGGUAGAGGCACAGUGCGGCGACUCUUCAUCUAUCUAAAGGACUAGCUACAUCCGUAUUCCCGAUCCCUCCAAGCCGGACACCCGCGGAGGGGAGGAUGUAACUCAAGACCUAAACUUAGAAUCAGGCAACGGGCUAGAUUCACUGGACAACAUCCAAGAAUCCAAACUUCAGAGUUCGGAAACUACUUGGCCUCUGAGUCUUAGAUUGGGUGAAGUUCCGGAUUUAAUUCCACCCACCCACCCGAACAUAAGCGAUCUAUCCCAAAUUAGGCAAAAGCCCGAAGAAACAGUACAUCAUUACUGGGCGAGGUUCCUCCUGGUUAUGAACAGGAUAAAGGACUGCCGCGAGGAAGACGCAAUCUCAAUCUUCUGCAAUAAUUGCACGGACAAAGGAACCCUCAACGCCACAGGUCGUCGUGAUCUUACACGCUUCGCUGACUUGGCGUCCAUAGUACAAAAGUACUGUGCGAUGGAAAGCGCCUGGAAAACCGAAGCUAAAUUUUGGGACAAUCCGGCCCUAAAUAGAAACCUCGUCCGAAAUAAAAGGGUGCAUCGCCAUCAGACACCCGGGUUAAAAACCAAAAAACUAAAACCCUCUACAGGGCAUGGAACCGUACUGGAGGGAUGGCUUAAUGGACCCUGUAAAAUUCAUAGUACAGAGGACGCCACACCAACUCAUAGCCUUAGAGCAUGUUGGAUACUCUGGCAGGUGGCCAAAAGGGGCGAAGAUCACCUAAUUCCGGAGGCCGCAGAAAGCCACCUCAGGGACUCCAGUACAGUCUUAACAGUCUUCGAGACUUUCGCAUCAAAUAAUAUGCGAAAAAGAAUACUCAGCAGCCUCGCCGAAGUCUAUCAAGUAGCAACAAUAAACCCAUGGAGUGACACGGCUAUUACUUUUAAUGCCAGUGAUGAACCUAAAUUCCGAACAGCUCGAGCACCAGCCGCAUUGGUACUCAGUCCUAUAGUGGACGGCUUUCGCCUCACUAAGGUACUCAUGGACGGAGGCAGCGGAUUGCACCUCAUUUAUGAGGAAACCCUUCAAAAAAUGGGAAUAGACUGGAACCACAUUGGGCGAAGCAGCACAACCUUUAGAGGAAUAAUCCCCAGUCGGGAAGUGCGCUGUGCAGGAAAAAUCACACUAGAUGUGGUGUUCGGCAUGCCGGAUAAUUAUAGGUCCGAAGAGAUCACAUUCCAAGUGGCCCCGUUCAGUAGCGGAUACCACGCUCUGCUGGGGAGGGAAGCAUUUACAAUCUUCCAAGCAAUACCCCAUUACGGGUACAUGAAGCUCAAGAUGCCCGGGCCGAAGGGAAUCAUCACUCUCGCUAGUGAUCCAGACAUAGCACUCCGCGCCGAAAACAAGACAGCCGCAUUGGCCCUUGAGGCACUGUCCGAAGCCCUAGUGGCUGAGGAACUGACUACACUGCGCUCCACGGUAAACAGGGACGAUGUGAUACUCGACAAAAGAUCCAAGUCCACCUCCUUUAAACCAGCGGAUGAAAUAGCCAAAUUCCAGGUCCAUCCAACGGACCCCAAUAAAACAGCUUCCAUCGGGGCACAAUUAAACCCCGAUGUAGACGCCGCACUGCGAGAAUUCCUACGGGAGAACUGGGACAUUGUUGCCUGGCACCCUUCAGACAUGCCAGGAAUCCCACGCAGGCUGGCCGAACACAGCUUAAAUAUCCUAAAAGGAUUCAGACCUGUCAAACAAGCCCUUCGGCGUUUCUCUGAGCCCAAGAGACAGGCAAUGGGAGAGGAGCUAGACAAACUAUUGGAGGCCAGAUUCAUUAGAGAUAUAAAACAUCCGGACUGGCUAGCAAGCUUGGUGAUGGUACCAAAGAAGGACAAAUCCUGGCGCCUGUGCGUUGACUUCAAAGACAUUAACAAGGCUUUCCCAAAGGAUCCCUUCCCCCUCCCCUGCAUCGAUCAAAUUAUCGACGCCACUGUAGGACACGAUUCGUUGUGCUUCCUCGAUGCAUACUCCGGUUACCAUCAAAUCAAGAUGGUCGAGUCAGACCAAGCCGCAACGGCAUUCAUCACCCCAUACGGCCCAUUCUGCUUCAACACAAUGCCUUUCGGGCUCAAAAACGCUGGCGCAACAUAUCAGCGCAUGAUUCAGACAUGUCUGGCAAACCAAAUCGGCAAAACAGUAGAGGCAUACGUGGAUGAUGUGGUCAUAAAAACAAGACAUGUCGAAUCUCUAGUAGACGACUUGAGGCUUACAUUUGACAACCUCCGAGCAUAUGACAUCAAGCAAAAUCCGGAAAAAUGCGUUUUCGGCGUUCCAGCCGGAAAGCUCUUGGGCUUCAUCAUAUCCGGUAGAGGAAUCGAAGCAAAUCCAGCCAAGAUCUGAGCUUUGUCACAAUUUGAUAUCCCAAAGGACCUCAAACAAAUACAAAAAUUAACCAGAUGCGUGGCGGCUCUAAGCCGCUUUAUCUCUCGUUUGGGAGAAAAGGCGCUACCCCUCUACCGCCUCCUUCGGCGCAUCGAACACUUUGAGUGGACGGAUGCCGCCAUGGCUAGACUCAACGAAAUAAAAGCCAUAUUGGCAACAAACCCUGUCCCGGCCGCGCCAAACAUCGGCGAACCAAUGCUAUUGUACAUUGCAGCAACCCAUCAAGUUGUCAGCGCAGUACUCGUCGUCGAGCGGGAAACGGACGGACACAAAUUCCCCCUUCAAAAGCCGGUUUACUAUGUGUCCACUGUCCUCACCACAUGCAAAUCACGGUACCCACAUUAUCAAAAGAUUGCAUAUAAGGUAUUCAUGGCAUCCCAGAAGCUACGACACUACUUUCAAGAGUGUUCAAUCACAGUAGCAUCGGAAGUACCACUCAACGAUUUUAUAAACAACCGUGACGCAACGGGCUGGAUUGCAAAAUGGGCCAUCGAGCUCCUCCCAUUCGACAUAACUUAUAGUCCACGGCGAGCUAUCAAGUCGCAAGUUUUGGCCGACUUCGUCGCAGAAUGGACGGAGGCCGAACUCCCUAAAGAGUACGGCACAUAUUCAAACUGGAUCAUGCACUUCAACGGUUCCAAAAUGUUGGCCGGACUAGGGGCCGGCGUCGUUUUGACGUCCCUCACAGGAGACACAGUUCAAUAUGUACUCCAGAUUAUGUACACGGACUCCAACAAUGCAGCCGAAUAUGAGGCCCUUUUACAUGGUCUUCGGAUAGAAGUAUCCAUGGGCAUUCAACGACUAGAGGUGCGCGGGGAUUCGAACCUCGCGAUAUCCCAAAUAAAUGGAGACUUCGAUGCCAAGGAUCCAAAAAUGGCAGCUUACCGCAACGCCGUCCUCAAAAUGUCAGCUCGGUUUGAGGCGCUCGAAUUUCACCAUAUAGCCCGAGAAAACAAUCAGGCGACAGACGUCCUAGCACGCAUCGGCGCAAAACGCGAUGCGGUCCCCCCCAACAUCUUCCUGGAAAGGCUGUUCAAGCCAUCCGUAGUAUGGGAAGGGGAACAUGGCAAUAUUAGCCCGGACCCAACCGCACUGUCCGACGCCGAACAAUCUGACAUAAUCGGAGGCUCUGCCAAUGAAAUCACAACCUCAGCCCACGUACUAAUGGCCGUUAUCGCCCCGUGGAAAGAACCAUUCCUAGCCUACCUUACUAGGCAGGAACUCCCAGAGGACCAAAAUGAGGCACACUGUAUAGUGCGGCGAUCUAAAUCCUAUAAAGUCCAUGAGGGAGAACUUUAUAAGAAAAGCACUACUAGAGUCCUUCAAAGGUGCAUCUCCGAAGAGGAAGGGCGGAACCUGCUGGCUGAAAUUCAUGCCAGACUCGGUGGCCAUCACGCCGCAGCCCUGUCCCUUGUAAGCAAGGCUUUCCGUAUAGGCUUUUAUUGGCCGACGCCCCGGGCGGACGCUCAGGACUUGAUCCAACGAUGCGUCGGUUGCCAGCUUUUUGCAAACCAAAUCCAUAUGCCACCCACCGCCCUCCAAACUAUCCCCAUCACUUGGCCUUUCGCGGUCCGGGGGCUUGACAUGGUGGGACCCCUUAAAGGCAGAACCCACAAGAAAAAAUACUUACUGGUCAUGGUGGAUAAGUUCACCAAAUGGAUAGAAGCCAAGCCUGUUAAGACGGCCGAAUCCGGACCUAUGAUAGACUUUAUAUCCGGGGUCGUACACCGUUAUGGCAUCCCCCACAGCAUCAUCACCGAUAACGGCACGAACUUUACGGCCGAUGAGGUAAAACUCUGGUGCAAAAACAUGGGCAUCAAGCUCGAUUAUGCUUCCUUCUAUCACCCACAAACUAACGGUUAGGUCGAACGUGCAAAUGGUCUCAUCAUGAGCGGCAUCAUACCCAGAUUAGUGCGCUCCCUCAAGGAAUCUAACACGCACUGGGUAGAGGAGCUCGACUCCGUUCUCUGGGGGCUGCGGACCACGCCGAAUCGCACCACCGGAUACACACCAUUUUUUAUGGUGUACGGCGCAGAGGCAGUCUUGCCCUGCGACAUAAUUCCUGACUCACCUCGAGUGCACAUGUACGAAGAAAGGGAAGCCGAACUCGAUCGGCAGGACAGUUUGGAUGCCUUAGAGGAGGAGCACGACGUGGCAAAAGCCCGUUCCGCAUUCUAUCAAUAGCAGGCUCGAAGAUAUCAAAGCAGAGAAGUGCGGGCCAAAAACUACAACGUUGGUGAAUUAGUUCUACGCCUGCCGGACAAGAAAAAGGACAAUCUGAAGCCCAAGUGGGAAGCUCCCUUCUCGACCAAGUCCUGACUGGUGGAGCAUACCGCCUGCGAGAUGCGUCGGAUAACCGACUCGAGCCGAACCCAUGGAACGCAGCCCGUCUCCGAAGAUUCUAUGCCUAGCACCGGACUCUGUGUUUGUCUCCUUCCUCUGUCCAUUUUUUACAUUUUCUGUCUUACAUUUCUCUCCUUCCCCUCUUUUCUUUUAUAGCCCUUAAAGGCUCCUCAAGUGACGUGCUACUCGCGCUCAUUAAACCUGGGGGCUUCUUUAAUAGAAGCUUAUUUAUACGGGCUUCACGCCCACCACAUGUGUCAAACUUCCGCAUGUACCUUUUCUUCACCAUUAUAUGCAUCGAUAUGACUUAAGUUUUGGCCAAGCUGGGUUGCCUGGCUCCUGUGCUUACCCCUACGUUCCCGAUUGUUCGGCUAGGUGGUAAAGGGAGCACCUCUGCGAUUUACUGCCGGAUACGCCAGAUGUGUACCUCAGACUGGGUGAAGCCGAAAGCUAGCGUUCUUAAGGGAAUAUUCGGUUGGUGAACUAAAAGAUGACCUUUUUUAUUUACUUAUAUAUAUGCCCCCAGAUGAUUUUCCUGCGUUUGCAGUCCGGACAUGCACUUUAGGGCAUGCCUCCCAGAGAAAGGAACCCCUAACGGAACUAUUCUCUCUGGAAGAUGUUUCUUACUAACCAUGUAAUAUAACAUAACUAGUUGGGCACCUGUCUGAUAAAGCACUAAUGACCCCUACGCCUGGUCUCCAUGCAUACCUCGGUUCUUACAUAACCGGUAGGGUAUUCGGACACACUCCGGACCGUCAGGUCCUGAGGUUGAAGCGAAAAGGUCGGCAAUGACAAACGAUCUACAAUCCGGCUAGAAGGCAUUACACAUGUCAAUUAAAAAUUACAUAGUCACUCUGACUGAUUGUAUUCCUCUUCAAUACCAUCUAACAGGCUGUCUAACUUACAGUCCUACUGGGAAUACUUUGCGACCAAUUCUACUUGGCCGUACACUAAGCUUACAGGGAUCUCCUUCCCGUCAGGCCCCACAGGUCCGACCUCGGCCAUGUGGUUUGGGUCAGACUUCGUGUACCGCGUCUUCACCAUGGCCCAGGCCUCCCUAGCGCCUUGUCGGCAGGCCGAUAUCUUCCACAACCGGAAGCGCCGCCGAGCUCCCUUAAGCUUAUCUGAAAGCUCUCCAAGGCCCUCGGGCAUGGAGUGGGAAGGCCAUAAGGCUUGGGCAACGCCUCGCAUCGCCUGCCGAACUCGUUCGUGCAGUUGCGAGAGCUCGGGAAGAUGGUCACCCGUAGAACCGGGCAUCUCCUCUGCAGGACGACCCGUUAGCAUACCUAUAGACAUUACUCUGUUAGUCAACUUCCUCGCCGAACUCUUCUCUUUCAAAGAUUUGCUUAAGCACUUACUAAAUAUGCCGCGUCGAAGCCGCUGAUUCUCCUUAGUAGAGUCCGACAGCUGGCCACGAACAUCUUUAAGCUCAACGUCCAGCUUGGUGUUGGCAUCCUGAAGAUCAUUCUUCUCCCGCCUCACCCUUGUCAGCAUACUCUCACCGACCUUUAGCCGGCGUAAGAGUUGUUGCCUCUCCGGAUCCAGUCCGGCGCCAUCUGCAAUAUGAUUUGUCAGAUUUACACCCACGCCGCACUUCGCAAAAUACUAAUCUUUCGAAGUAUAUCUUACCAGAGGGGGUCUCUUUGGGCUCCCCUGCCGCGGCUAAUGCGGCCUCUAGUUGGGCUUUGCACUCUUCCAGCUCCUGGGACAGUACGAUAUUCUUCUCUGUAAGAACCUGCAUAACAAAUGAUCCUUAAAUCAGUUACUGUAACUGUUUCAAGUCUCGGGGGCUACUGGUAUAUAUAUAUUUACCAAAAUUUUCUUACCCGUAUGUCUUUUACAUAUUGAUCCAUGGCUCUGGCUAAACCAUUUUGAGCGGCAUGGAGGUAGGCAUCUCCCGAAUUGAAGGCAUCUAAUGCCUCUUGGGAGAAACAAGUGUCGCGAAGAACUGUCUGGCGACGCCUGUGGUUCAUGGCACUCUCCACCUCGGAAUUGGUGGCAGACAGCCUGUCUGCAUCCUCUAUCGGAGGAGCGUCCGGUGCGCGCCUUGUGUUCGCUUCCGCUUUCGGGCUAAGCGUUGGAGCCUGGCUGGUGGAGGCACGAUUGGCAACCUCUCCGGAUAUAGUCCGGCGAGGUCUCUUCAUCAUGAAGAUAGCACGAACAUUAAUAUGCCCUGAAGGAAUAUAACCAGGGAGAAAGAGGGUGCGCUAUACCUUUGCACCGACAUCUAAGUCUGGACUACAUUCCUUUUUACCCCACGGGGCCCCUGCAGGUUCAGCCGUUGGCUAGCCGCCGCAGGUUCAGCCUCCCUCCUCGGAAACCUCCCCUGCAAAACACGGUCGUUGUCAGGAAAACUGAAAUGCGUGAGAAUGUAUUCCUUCUCAAGGGGAUGAGACUCCACUCUCUGUUACCUGGGAGGCCGGGAUUAACCUUGGGUAAUCAGCCGUAAUGGCCACCAAGGUAUUAUCCUUGCUUAGUUGAUGAAACACCCCGUCAAUCAGCUCCACCGAUAUGUCCGGAUCCUCUUCGGAGUCCGGAUCGAGGGACCAUUCCGGAUCCUCGGGCUGUGGGGGACGACUGUUUAUAUCCUUUACUUCCUGACGCAGUUCCUGCAUUGAAAUCAUUAGACUACAUAUUUAAUCAUGGGAAUAUAAAACGGAUGGGUAAGCACAAUUGUCCACUUACCCAACUCGGAGGGUUGUACAUAGUAAAUCCGCCCUGCGGGUUGACACGGAGGAAUUCCUCCUCUUCUCCCUUGUACAAAGAGGAUAAGAUCUUUACUAGAGCGGCAGCUGAGGCUGGCCCCUUACGACCGUAACGGGUGGCGUCAUCCUCCCCGUUAAAAUCCCACAUGGGGUGGCCUCUAUAUUGAAGCGGCUGCACCCCCCGCAUAAUGCAUGCGGCCAUGACUCCAAUCAUGGUUAGUCCGGAAUGAGCCAAUGGUCUUAUCCGACCCAUCAGGUGAAGGACGUCCCUGUCGCCUUCUCUCUGAGAGCUCCGCGGAUGCCAGCUUAGGCGUUUCUUUAAGGGAGCACCGACCCGGAUAGGAUCCGGCAGUGGGACAUCAUCUAUAUAAAACCAUUCCGAAGGCCAGUCCUCGGACGCCUUCUUUGGGGUUCCGGAUAGAUAUCUGGUCCCGGCGAUACGCCACACUUCGGCUCCGCCCACUUUAUAUAUAGACCCCUCUUGAGAGCGGGGCACCAAGCAGAAUAACCUCUUCCACAGCGCGAAAUGAGCCUCAACACCCAAGAAUAGCUCGCAAAGGGCGAUGAAGCCCGCGAUAUGCAAUAUAGAGGCGGGCGUGAGAUUGUGCAGCUGGAGGCCGUAGAACUCCAGAAGCCCACGGAGAAAUGGAUGAAUUGGAAAUCCAAGUCCUCUUAUUAGAUAAGGGACGAGGCACACCCGCUCUCCUUUGGAGGGAUUGGGGGUGCUCUCCGCUUGCUCUCCACCAUUAUAGGUGGCGAGUCCGGCUCGGACCGGGACCAUAUAGGCCUGAGGGAGAAAUCCCUUGACCUGAAGCGACACUAGCUCGCUGUGCGGGAUGGAGCACCUCUCCCAGUCUGCAGGUUUAGGACUGGAAGGGCGAGGGGAGGAGCUACGACGGCUGGCCAUGUUGGAAUGGACCUUUGUUGGAGGCGCUCUUAUGAUUACUCGCGGGGAGAAGAAGGUGUGGUUUGGAUCUGAAUCCCCAUCCCAUUAAAUAGGCGGCUCGUUUAUGCGGCUAGGGGUGUGAAUGUAAAAACACCCCGACUUUUCGCAUUCGUUUGACACGUGGAAGAUGGCCAUUAUUGGGCGUGAAAGCCAAGGUGCGCUACAUUACGAAAAUCGGACAUUAUUUAGUAGGUACACGGAAUUUGGAGAAGAACCCACCUUGCAAUGCCGAAGACAAUCUGCGCGCCGGACUCGUCGCCAUUGAAGCCUGGUUCGGGGGCUACUGAGGGAGUCCUGGAUUAGGGGGUGUUCGGGUAGCCGGACUAUACCUUCAGCCGGACUCCAGGACUAUGAAGAUACAGGAUUGAAGACUUCGUCCCGUGUCCGGAUGGGACUUUCCUUGGCGUGGAAGGCAAGCUUGGCGAUGCGGAUAUUCAAGAUCUCCUACCAUUGUAACCGACUUUGUGUAACCCUAACCCUCUCCGGUGUCUAUAUAAACUGGAGGGUUUUAGUCCGUAGGACAACUUCAUCAUACAACAAUCAUACCAUAGGAUAGCUUCUAGGGUUUAGCCUCCUUGAUCUCGUGGUAAAUCUACUCUUGUACUACCCAUAUCAUCAAUAUUAAUCAAGCAGGACGUAGGUUUUUACCUCCAUCAAGAGGGCCCGAACCUGGGUAAAACAUCGUGUUCCUUGCCUCCUGUUACCAUCCGGCCUAGACGCAUAGUUCGGGACCCCCUACCCGAGAUCCGCCAGUUUUGACACCGACAUUAACUAUUCAUAGAAAUAAGAUGGACCUUCUUUUCUAAGAGCCCAUCUGAAAGGAAUCUCAAAGUUAAGCGUGCUUGGCUUGGGGCUAUUUAAGGAUGGAUGGUUGACUAGGAAGUUGAUCCACUACAAGAAAUAUGUCAACUUGUGACCUUGACUAUUGGUCAUUAUUUUUCAUUUGCGACCUUUUUGUGACUAAAAAUAGAAGGUCAAAAGCUGGCGGUCGUAAACUGAAAUUAACGACCUUCUCUGUGAGAAGGUCGUAGACGUUUACGACCAAAACAUGCCUAUUGUUUUGUUUUGGUCACUAGCAGCCUCCUCAGGCCAUGUAGGCAUCCGACGUGGCAAUCUGUUGUGGCACUAGAAUCAGCCCGGUCCAACUCGAUUUUCUACAUGGGCCUAGCCCAACAAUUCAGCCUUUUUAAUGUAUUUUUUCAUGUGCUUUUAUUAGCUACAUGGGUCUGGCCCAGUAAUUCGGCCCAUGUAUUUGUUUAGGCAAGCCCUUUUAAUAUAUGUAUUUUAUGUUGAUUUUGGUUAGCUACAUGGGCCUGGCCUACAAUUUGGCCUUUUUAUUUUCUAGCGCACAACAUUUUGCAGUCAAUUUAUUUUUUAUUUCCAGCUUUUUUCCUAGCUCCAGUUUACAGAUGGGUCCCAAAUGUCAGAUUUUUCACAGCUUAUUAAUAAGCAAUAUAUAUGUAUAUAUCAAACAGACAGAAGAGAGAAAGCAUAUGAAAAUCUUCAAAUAACAGCUAAAAUAAGUUUAUUACAAUAUGCUAUACAGAACAGAACAUGUGAAACUACAUACAGUCAUUCACAUCACAACAACCAGUUUCCAUACACUCAUUCACAUCACAUCAACCAUUUUAACCAUCAAAUCUUGCAUACCCAGGAACUUCCGCUUAUGUGCAGACCUACAGGAAGGGCAUCUCUCCAGCAUCAUCUCUCGUAACCUAAAAGAAGGAACAUAAACCAUCAUCAGAAUUUGCAACUUUUUGUCAUGCCAAAAUAUUUAUACUUGUUUAAAACAAAGGAUUGAUGGCAAAAAUUAUUUCCAUAGCCGUUUGUUGGAUACUGAUGGUAGUUUGAGUAGGUAGGCCGAAUAGUUCAAUGUGUUAAACAACCAGGUGCAUUUUUCUCUACAGCCGAACUAGGUAUAUAGUUCAAAGUCUGUUAAGCAUGUGACACAAAACAUUUUUUGUAUUUCAGCAUGAUAGACCAUAAACAUAACUUGCUAAUUACAGGUUUACUAACUAUAGGUCCUGUUAUCGGCAACCAAAAGCAUUAGGCGAUGAAGAACAGUAUAUUUGCGAUGCAAUUCGUUAGCCAACCACCAAUAUGAUAGUCCAUGUGCGUAUUACAUCAGGGACAAGCCAACAGAUAAGUACAUAUGACAAGAAACAAAAACAAAGAGGUCGUACAACACAUGGCACGUGCAUAUCUCCAUGACACCAACCAAGCAAGGAAUGUACAAAGAAGAAGCGCACCUUCAACGUCUCAUCAUCGGUCAUGAUAGGUGUACUGGUAGGUGGUUGAUGAGCCUCCCUUCUUGUCAUGCUUGGUCAUGAUCUGGAUAGCGAAAAGAGGGAGGUUAGGAACAUCACAAUGACAGUACUGAGAUCACUCAAGCAAUCCUAAUGAUGCAUGAACCUCACAAUGUUGCCAACAAGGCAAGAACUUCCUUGAUCUUAUCCUUGAUGUUCUCUAGCUCCAGGUUGUUUCGCUGCAGCUCAAUAUUUGAUGCCGUGUGUGUACAUGCAUCAGGGCAUACAUACAAUGUUCAAGUUAAUAUUCUCAGCAAACUAUGAUGUAACCAAAAUAAUUACUUCAGGACUUAGGAUAAAAAUUGAGCUUAGACAUGAAACUUUACAGCGCUCAUUUCAACCAUGUUAGAUAAACUUGAGGUAAAUUAGCAAUAAGGAUAUUGGUUACAAGCUAGGUGAAGUGCAAACAACGUCCUAUUAUAUUGAUGUA